UUUUUUUUCUUUUUGACAAUUAAAUUUUCGUUCUCUUAGUGCUUGGUAAAUUUGAUAUGUAGUAACAUGAUUUGUUGAAAAAGUUCUUGAUAUGUACCUCAAUCACUAUUCUUUGAUUUGCAUGAGAUCCACUUAACUGAGUGUUAUGCUCUGUAAUGCCGGAGUUAUAGAUCAUCUUAGGUAGUGUUAUAUAAAAAGUAGUAUGUUUUAUGUGUGUGAACUUGUAAGUUGUUAGGUCUUUUUCUAUUUGUUUCAACUGUGUUCUUAAUCUUCAGAUUACUGUGAGGCUGUCUUCCUUGUGAUUAUGUAGACAAGGACACAAGGUAGAGUAGGUGUUUAGUAUACAGAUGCUGUUUAGGCCAUUAUAGUCAUGGCAUGAAGAUGUCAGGAUGCUCUUUGUCUUAUAUCUAUUUUUUGGCUUCUUGUGUAUUUAUUUGUGUUGUUAAGUUUCUUGGCCGUUGCAGAACUCGGAUGUAACAGAAGCUAUUCAGAAGGUUGCUGCUGCCUAUGACUGCAAGAUUGUCGAGGGUGUAUUGAGCCAUCAAAUGAAGCAGUUUGUUAUUGAUGGAAACAAAGUUGUAUUGAGCGUGUCCAAUCCUGACACAAGAGUAGAUGAAGCAGAAUUUGAAGAGAAUGAGGUCUACUCCAUUGAUAUCGUGACAAGCACUGGUGAUGGAAAGGUAUGGAUGUGUAUUGCACCUUUGACAUCUGAAUAUCUAAUAUUACGAGUUCUCCUCGUGAAUCUCACAGUUUAUUUUCCCGGGCCUUUCUUAAACUUUGCAGCCCAAGUUGUUGGAUGAGAAACAGACAACCAUCUACAAGAGAGCUGUAGACAAAAGCUAUAACCUGAAGAUGAAAGCCUCAAGGUUCAUCUUCAGUGAAAUCAGUCAGAAGUUCCCUAUCAUGCCAUUUACCGCAAGGUCCGAUGAUUUUCUCAAAAUUCAUAUUCAACUGUAGUAAUUUAGAAGUUUCAUGAUAAUAGUGAUGUCUGGUUUCACAGAGAAUGCUGUUUACUUACUCUCUUAUUUUUACUUGAUCAGGGAUUUGGAGGAGAAGAGGGCUCGUUUGGGCCUUGUUGAAUGUGUUAACCAUGAGCUUUUGCAGCCAUAUCCUGUUCUACAUGAGAAACCUGGUUGGUACCAUUUUCUUCAGUAUUCAAAAUUUAGAUGUAAGUUUUGUCGAUAAUAUCCCUUGUUCGUUUUCAUCAUCUUUUGUUGCUUACGCAGGUGAUUUGGUUGCUCACAUUAAGUUCACAGUGCUGUUAAUGCCCAAUGGAUCGGAUAGGGUAACAUCUCAUGCGCUCCAGGAGCUUCAGCCUACAAAGACAACAGAGAAUGAACCUGAAAUCAAGGCUUGGCUAGCCCUUCCCACCAAGACUAAGAAGAAAGGUGGUGGGAAGAAAAAGAAAGGUAAUUCAAAAUGCAUUUGCAAAAUAUAUUUACUGAAUCGAUGUUGCAAAACUUGUUUUUACCAGUUACUUUUGAAUUCUGAUAUCUUACCCCCUUUGCAUGAGCAGGAAAGAAAGGUGACAAGGUAGAAGAGGCAUCUCAAGCUGAGCCUAUGGAAGGAUAGUGAAGUGGCUCCAAAACUUUCAUACUUGCAAUUUUGAGGUGCUUUGAUCGAUCAACUUUACUGAAACUAUUGGUUCAGUGUGAGUUGAUUCGGCACACGUUGAGCUGCUUAUGUUCAUCUUUGUGGGGUUAUGAAAGACAAUUAUUGUACCCGUUCAUGUUAAGUUGUUCUCCUUAGGUUUUUCAAUGCUAUUCAAAAUUCUCUUAUCAUUUAAAUUUUAAACCUUCAAUAAGUCCGUAUUGUGCUCUUCUCUAUUUGUUUGAAGUUAGAAAGAUCACAUUUUUGUUUCUGAUAUUGACAAAUAUGGACUGACUUCAGUAAAAUCAAACAUGAAUAGGAAACAUAACAAUCAUUUUUCUGAUUCUACUAGAAAAAAUGUUUCAAAGUUUUUAGUAGAAGAAUCUCACCUUUUAAUCAGCUCUUCAUCAAGAAAUGCUAAAGCCUAAAGUUAAUAGGAUACCGGGUCUUUUUGCUUUAAGCAAAUUUGAAUGACUAUUUUAUAAAAUGUGUCAAGUUAAGUGGUUAUCUAUGCAUUUAAUAAUCGAAUUGAUUGAAGAAAUUUGUACUUGGUACAUCUUCAUGAAAUAUUCAAAAUCAUUGCACAAUUAUAUAACUAUUUAUCAACUAAUUUACAUUUGAUGUUAACGAUUGUGAAUUCGAGUAAUCUAGGAAAGAAAAAUGUUGGAGUGCCUAGGAAGAUCACUACAAAAUGGUAAUGACCUACCAUAUCUUUGAACGAGGCUCAUCGUGAUAACAACUUAUAAAUAUAUUGAAUUUAAAAUUGUAUAGUGAAUAAGUAAAGCCAUUUAUAUUUUAAAAAUACUUUUACUUUGCUAUAAAUAUGAGUAAUAGUUGUACUAUGAGUCUAUGACUUCACGAUAUUAGUCAUAAAUUUAUAAUUAUGCAAUAAUUAUAUUAAUUUGAAUUGUAUUUGAUAUAGUAAAAAUCUGUUCAUCUUUAAUUAGUUUUCGAUUCGCUCCUACAAUGAUUUUCUUUUAUUUAGAGUCUAUUUCCUAUAGAUAAGUCCUAAGCUCUGCCAUGCGUAAUCUAAAUUUCAUCGCGUUUAAAUAUGAUGUCAAAUGAAUGAAAAAUAAUAAAAAGAAGACAUAAUACACGUAAAAAUAUACUUUUACUAAUAUUUGUAUUCUCAAAUUAUAUGUCAAAUUGCAUGAGAUUUUCUAUGUAGUAUGCACAUGGUUAUUUAUUUAAUUUAAUUUAAAAAAUCUAUUUAUGCACGCUCAAAAAUCGAUAAUUAGAGGGAAAAAAUAGUGUGGUAAUUGUAGAUCUAGAAUUGAUUUUAUUGUAGUUCAAAGGCUCACUACGGUAGGGCAUCAAUCAAAUAACACUUGACUCCAUACAAACUCGGCUUCUUCAAUCCUUAGAGGCGGCUACUUGUCCUCCGAUUCUUCGAGUCGGUUGUGAGCCCUAGAUAUUACUACUACUAAUCAGUUAGUGUAUAGUAUUAUUUCUACUUGCGGCAUAGUCGGAAGCGUUCGAAUCUCUCUCUUUGACUCCGGUGAGUGCAAAGCUUUUUUGUUAAUUCGUCUUUAUUGCUGUUAUUGUUUUUCGUUUGAACUUGUAUCUGCGUUUUCCCAACUGUAUUGUCAAUUUUUGAAUUUUGUAGUUGUACUUAGGGUUUAGCUAUUUGAGCCGACUGAUUUGAGUAGUUGAGUUUUUUUUUUUGAAUUUUAGGUUUUCUGAUUUUCGACUGAAAUAUGUCGAAUUUGGGCGGUGGUGCAGAAGCACAUGCACGUUUCAAACAGUAUGAGUACAGAGCGAACUCAAGUCUUGUUCUAACUACUGAUUCUCGUCCCCGAGAUACUCAUGAACCCUCUGGUGAACCUGAGUCUCUUUAUGGAAAAAUUGACCCUAAAUCAUUUGGUGAUCGAGCUUACAAGGGUAGACCUCCAGAGUUGGAUGAGAAACUUCAGAAGGCUAGGAAGAAGAAGGAGCGGGAACCACUUGUCUCUGAGCCCACUAGGCAAAGUAAGAAGAGACGGCUUCAGGAAGAAAGUGUUCUUACUUCGAGUGAGGAAGGUGUUUACCAGCCUAAAACAAAGGAAACUAGGGCUGCUUAUGAGGCUAUGCUCAGCUUGAUUCAGCAGCAACUUGGGGGACAGCCUCUCAACAUUGUGAGUGGAGCAGCUGAUGAGAUGUUGGCGGUGUUGAAAAAUGAUAACUUCAAGAACCCUGAAAAGAAAAAGGAAAUUGAGAAGCUGUUAAAUCCUAUAUCGAAUCAGGUGUUUGAUCAGUUGGUGUCAAUUGGGCGACUCAUUACUGACUAUCAGGAUGGUGGCGAUGCAUCAGCGUCUGCUGCAGCUGACGGCGAUGAUGGUCUUGACGAUGAUGUCGGUGUAGCAGUUGAGUUUGAGGAGAAUGAAGAAGAAGAAGAAGAGAGUGAUCUUGAUGUGGUACCUGAUGAUGAAGAGGAGGACGAUGAUGUGAUGGAAGCCAGUGCUUCUGGUGCUAUGCAGAUGGGCAGUGGCAUUGAUGAUGAUGAGAUGCGGGAUGCCGAUGAGGGAAUGGCCUUGAAUGUUCAGGACAUAGAUGCUUAUUGGCUUCAAAGAAAGAUCUCUCAAGCUUAUGAGCAGCAGAUCGAUCCCCAACAGAGCCAAAAGCUUGCUGAAGAGGUUCUUAAAAUUCUUGCUGAAGGCGAUGAUCGUGAAGUAGAAACAAAGCUGCUGGUGCAUCUCCAAUUUGAUAAGUUCAGUCUCAUCAAAUAUCUUCUGCGCAACCGGCUAAAGGUAGUAUGGUGUACCCGCCUUGCAAGGGCAGAAGACCAAGAGAAUAGGAAGAAAAUUGAAGAAGAGAUGUUGGGGUUGGGGCCAGAUCAUGUGGCUAUAUUAGAACAGUUGCAUGCUACUAGGGCUACUGCAAAAGAGAGGCAGAAGAAUCUGGAGAAAAGCAUUAGGGAAGAGGCUAGGCGUCUUAAAGAUGAGUCUGGUGUUGAUGGUGAUGGAGAAAGGAAGGCACUUGUAGAUAGAGAUCUUGAUAAUGGUUGGUUAAUGGGGCAGCGUCAGUUUCUUGAUCUUGACAGCCUUGCAUUUCAGCAAGGCGGUUUGUUGAUGGCAAAUAAGAAAUGUGAGCUUCCAGUUGGGUCUUACAGGAAUCAUAAGAAGGGGUACGAGGAAGUUCACGUGCCAGCAUUGAAGCCAAGGCCACUAGACCCUGGUGAAGAGCUUGUGAAGAUAUCCUCCAUUCCAGAGUGGGCUCGACCAGCAUUCAGUGGGAUGACCCAAUUGAACAGGGUGCAGAGUAAAGUAUAUGAGACUGCCCUUUUUUCUCCGGAGAACAUUUUGCUCUGUGCUCCAACUGGUGCCGGGAAGACCAAUGUAGCUAUGCUCACUAUACUUCAGCAAAUUGCACUAAACCGCAAUGAAGAUGAUGGUACAUUCAACCACAACAACUAUAAGAUCGUAUAUGUGGCACCCAUGAAAGCCCUUGUUGCUGAAGUGGUUGGUAAUCUCUCCAAGCGUUUGGAACAUUAUGGUGUCACAGUGAAAGAGUUGAGUGGUGAUCAAACAUUAACUCGUCAACAGAUUGAAGAGACUCAAAUUAUCGUGACUACCCCAGAGAAGUGGGAUAUUAUAACCAGAAAGUCGGGCGAUCGCACAUAUACACAGCUUGUUAAACUUCUUAUUAUUGAUGAGAUUCAUCUCCUGCAUGACAACAGAGGUCCUGUCUUGGAGAGUAUCAUUGCUAGAACUAUUCGACAGAUCGAAACCACCAAAGAGCAUAUUCGUCUUGUUGGAUUGUCAGCAACUCUUCCAAAUUAUGAGGACGUGGCUGUGUUUUUGCGAGUGGAUCUGAAGAAAGGACUCUUCCAUUUUGACAAUAGCUAUAGGCCUGUUCCGUUGGCUCAGCAGUAUAUUGGAAUUACAGUUAAGAAGCCACUGCAGAGAUUCCAGUUGAUGAAUGACGUUUGCUAUGAGAAGGUGAUUAGUAUUGCAGGAAAGCAUCAGGUGCUUAUUUUUGUCCAUUCAAGGAAGGAAACAUCUAAAACAGCUCGUGCGAUACGGGAUACUGCACUUGCUAAUGACACCCUUGGUAAGUUUUUGAAGGAGGACAGUUUAACUCGGGAACUUCUACAGUCGCAAACUGAGCUUGUGAAGAGCAAUGAUCUCAAAGAUCUUUUACCAUAUGGUUUUGCUAUUCAUCAUGCGGGGAUGGUUAGAACUGAUCGGCAACUUGUGGAGGAUCUUUUUGCUGAUGGCCAUGUGCAAGUGUUGGUUUCAACAGCCACUUUAGCAUGGGGUGUCAAUUUACCUGCACAUACUGUGAUUAUAAAAGGUACCCAGAUUUACAAUCCUGAGAAAGGAGCAUGGACUGAACUCAGUCCUCUUGAUGUUAUGCAAAUGCUUGGUCGCGCUGGACGUCCUCAGUAUGACACCUAUGGUGAAGGAAUCAUAUUAACGGGCCACAGCGAAUUGCAAUAUUAUUUGUCCCUGAUGAAUCAGCAGCUGCCAAUAGAAAGUCAAUUUAUCUCCAAGUUGGCAGAUCAGUUAAAUGCCGAGAUUGUCCUCGGGACUGUGUUGAAUGCCAAGGAAGCAUGUAAAUGGCUCCUGUAUACUUACCUCUAUGUCCGCAUGGUACGGAAUCCCACACUUUAUGGUCUACCUGCUGAUGCUCUCAAGACUGAUUAUGCUUUGGAGGAAAGGCGUGCUGACUUGGUAAGUCUUACAUAUAUUCCACUUGCUGUUCCUUUCUUUCCUUACUUUAUUUUUGAUAAAAGUUUCAUUAAUAGUGCCAAGAAGGCACUGCAAAAUAUAAAGAACAAAAUUUACAUUUUCACCAUCUGUUUCAUCCCUAGGAACUCUGAAAGUCAACAUGUACUGAGACAAAUUUUCUAUCUUGUUGUUCCUACACCAGACACAUAAAUUAUGAAUACAUUUAUUUUUUACAAAUGAUAUGUGUUUGUUUUUUGUGUCCUUGAAAGAAUCUCUCUUAGAAAAAGAUCCUAGAUUUGUCUUGUUUGCCUGCAAAGGAAAAAUAGAUGGCCAAUCAAAACCAGCAUCUACUGCACAGGGAGAAGCCUUUUCAUGUAAAAUUCUAUGAGCUAAACUCACAUUCCUUACAGCAGUCCAACCAAAACAAGAAAACCUUAGAAGAUGCUUUUUACUCUCACAACAUUUUCCAAGGCCAAGACUUAUUCCACCUGUCUGGUUGUUUCUGUAGAAGGGUAUACCAGCUUUUAACAAAGAUUGUUCUAUCCUGACUUGCUUUCCAGUCUGGGAAUCUAGCCGGCACACAUCAAGGUUUAUAGAUUCCAAAAUAUAUAAAAAUUUGCUAAUCUUCAUCCAUUUUCCCAGUCAUGAAGUUUCUUCUUUAAUUUGAAUGCCACCGCAAGUCAGUGUAACAGUUGGCAACUGUACUAUCUUUGCUUACAGCUAAGCUACACAAUACAGGAGAUUUGUCCAUUAAUUAUUCUAUCUCCCAACCAAAAAUCUGUCCAGAAAGAAUCCUGCAGCCGCUGCCAUCAUUUAGUUGGACAUGGUGCUGGAAUUCAGACCAAAGCUUGCAUAUAUUCUUUCAAACUCCUAUAUAAGUAGGCACAUACACUGAAUUGGUGCGCCAAAUUUGCUUCACCAUAUUUAACAGUAAUUAUUGCUUUACAACCUCAAUUCUCAUUAAAGAUCUGCGACCAUCUAAUUGACAAACUCAUAAUAUGAUAUUCUCUUGGUUGCACCAUAUUUUUGUAUUGCUAAAUGUUGUUCAAAUGGCUUGCUCAGAUUCUCCAUGAUUAAUAAUCUUGUGUUCCCGUGAAUAUUGAUGCCAAUCAUGGAAAAAAGUAAUGUCUAAUAGUUGAGUGAGUAUUUAUGUUAAUGCUUAGUUUAUAGUAGUUAGAUCGUUCUUGGUGAGUUGAUGCCAGCUAGUUGUUUAUAUGGAGAGCUAAUUUCCAUUAGUUUGAAUGAAACAGAGCAGAGACUAACCUUCAAUAUAAUUAUUUCUAUGAUAAUCAAUGGUAGUAAUAUCCAACAUAUGUGCUGUAUUUCUUCCAUCCUUGAAAUUGUUGUUAUGUCUUAUUGUACUGAUAGUUUGACAUUCAAAUUGUAUUUUGUUCCAUCUUAGCUGAAAAGCAUCGAUAAUUCCUUCAGAGUUUGAAAUACUUGCUUGCAGGUACAUUCUGCUGCUAUAUUGCUGGACAAGAAUAACUUGGUCAAGUAUGACAGAAAAAGUGGAUAUUUCCAGGUGACUGACCUGGGUCGCAUUGCGAGUUAUUAUUAUAUAACUCACGGGACAAUUUCCACGUACAAUGAGCAUUUGAAGCCUACGAUGGGUGACAUUGAACUUUGCAGGCUUUUCUCUCUUAGUGAGGAAUUCAAAUAUGUUACAGUCAGACAAGAUGAGAAAAUGGAAUUGGCGAAGCUUCUAGAUCGUGUUCCUAUCCCAAUAAAAGAGAGUCUUGAGGAACCUAGUGCCAAGAUCAAUGUACUAUUGCAGGCAUAUAUUUCACGGCUGAAGCUUGAAGGUUUGUCCCUGUCAUCCGACAUGGUUUAUAUCACUCAGGUUUGUUGUGUUGUAUAAAUAACCUCCUAUAUAGUUGCUUGUUAUUUCUUUAAUCAUUUGUGAUUUGGUGUUAUCUGAUAGCGAAUUAUCUAACUUUGUUAUUUGCUUUUGCAGAGUGCUGCACGUCUGAUGCGAGCCCUUUUUGAGAUUGUUCUGAAAAGGGGAUGGGCUCAGUUAGCUGAGAAGGCCUUAAAAUGGUGCAAAAUGAUAAGCAAGAGGAUGUGGAGUGUACAGACACCACUUCGCCAAUUCCAUGGCAUACCAAAUGAAAUCUUGAUGAAGUUGGAGAAGAAAGAUUUGGCUUGGGAGCGUUAUUAUGAUCUUUCAUCACAAGAAUUGGGAGAGCUUAUCCGGUUCCCAAAGAUGGGAAGGACAUUACACAAGUUCAUUCAUCAGUUCCCAAAGCUGAACCUUGCUGCACAUGUUCAACCAAUUACGCGGUCAGUCUUGAGGGUUGAAUUGACGAUUACACCGGAUUUCCAAUGGGAAGACAAGGUUCAUGGUUAUGUAGAACCUUUCUGGAUAAUUGUUGAAGAUAAUGAUGGGGAGUUUAUUCUUCAUCAUGAAUAUUUCAUGUUGAAGAAGCAGUAUAUUGAUGAGGACCAUACUUUGAACUUCACAGUCCCAAUAUAUGAGCCACUGCCCCCACAGUAUUUCAUUCGGGUUGUCUCUGACAAAUGGCUUGGGUCCCAGACUGUUUUACCCGUCUCUUUCCGACAUCUGAUUUUGCCAGAGAAAUAUCCUCCUCCCACCGAGUUACUAGACUUGCAACCUCUGCCAGUUACUGCAUUGAGGAAUCCAGCAUAUGAAGCACUUUAUCAAGAUUUCAAGCAUUUCAAUCCGGUUCAGACUCAGGUUUUCACAGUGCUGUACAAUUCAGAUGACAAUGUCUUGGUUGCAGCUCCAACUGGUAGUGGGAAGACUAUUUGUGCUGAAUUUGCCAUAUUGAGGAAUCAUCAGAAAGGACCUGAUAGUACCAUUCGUGCUGUGUAUAUAGCUCCACUAGAGGCUCUUGCUAAGGAGCGGUUCAACGAUUGGAAAACGAAAUUUGGGGACCAUCUGGGAAUGAGGGUUGUUGAAUUAACUGGAGAAACCGCCAGUGAUCUGAAGCUGUUGGAGAAGGGUCAACUAAUUAUCAGCACACCUGAGAAAUGGGAUGCUUUGUCUCGUCGCUGGAAACAACGUAAGCAUGUUCAGCAAGUCAGUCUUUUCAUUAUUGAUGAAUUGCACCUGAUUGGGGGUCAAGGUGGUCCAAUCCUGGAGGUGAUCGUCUCUCGGAUGAGAUAUAUCUCAAGCCAGGUUGAGAACAAGAUCCGCAUCGUUGCUUUGUCAACUUCCUUAGCUAAUGCCAAGGAUUUGGGAGAAUGGAUUGGGGCUACAUCUCAUGGGCUCUUCAACUUUCCGCCUGGUGUAAGGCCUGUGCCACUUGAAAUACACAUUCAAGGUGUUGAUAUUGCUAACUUUGAAGCUAGGAUGCAAGCCAUGACAAAACCCACAUAUACUGCAAUAGUCCAACAUGCAAGGAAGGGAAAACCUGCACUUGUGUACGUUCCCACAAGGAAGCAUGCUCGCUUGACUGCUGUAGAUCUGAUGACUUAUUCAAGCAUGGACAGCGAAGACACACCCAUAUUUCUGCUACGAUCUGCAGAAGAGCUGGAACCUUUCGUGGAAAGGAUCAAUGAACCUAUGCUGCAAGAGACACUCAAGUAUGGUGUGGGCUACUUGCAUGAGGGGUUGAGUGCCACUGAUCAGGAUAUAGUGAAGACAUUGUUUGAAACUGGAUGGAUUCAAGUGUGUGUGAUGAAUGGUACAAUGUGUUGGGGAGUACCGUUAUCUGCACAUUUGGUGGUGGUCAUGGGGACACAGUAUUAUGAUGGUAGGGAAAAUGCACACACUGAUUAUCCCGUUACUGAUUUGUUGCAGAUGAUGGGCCAUGCCAGUCGACCUCUUGUAGAUAGCUCAGGGAAGUGUGUUAUCCUCUGCCAUGCACCACGCAAGGAUUACUACAAGAAGUUCUUGUAUGAAGCAUUCCCAGUUGAAAGCCAUCUGCAACAUUAUCUCCAUGAUAAUUUGAAUGCUGAGGUGGUGGUUGGCGUUAUUCAGAACAAGCAGGAUGCUGUUGAUUACCUAACAUGGACCUUCAUGUAUAGAAGGCUGACACAGAAUCCAAAUUACUACAAUCUGCAGGGUGUUAGUCAUAGGCAUCUGUCUGACCAACUGUCGGAGCUAGUGGAGAAUACCAUCAGUGACUUGGAGGCAAGUAAAUGUGUCACUAUUGAGGAUGAAUUUUUGCUUUCACCUUUGAAUCUUGGUAUGAUAGCGUCAUAUUAUUAUAUCAGUUACACCACAAUAGAGCGUUUUAGCUCUUCUGUGACCUCCAAGACAAAGUUGAAGGGCUUGCUGGAAAUAUUGGCGUCAGCAUCGGAGUUUGAACAGCUGCCAAUACGACCAGGUGAAGAGGAAUUGAUAAGAAGGUUGAUUAAUCAUCUGCGUUUCUCUUUUGAGAAUCCAAAGUACACAGAUCCUCAUGUCAAGGCUAAUGCUCUUUUACAAGCCCAUUUCUCUAGGCAAAUGGUGGGUGGAAAUCUUGCUUCUGACCAGCAAGAGGUGCUGCUUUCUGCUACUAGGCUGCUUCAAGCAAUGGUUGAUGUUAUUUCCAGUAAUGGUUGGCUUAGUCUAGCACUUCUAACAAUGGAGGUGAGCCAGAUGGUGACACAAGGGAUGUGGGAACGUGACUCGAUGCUUCUCCAGCUUCCACACUUCACAAAGGAAUUGGCUAAGAAGUGCCAAGAAAAUCCAGGGAGGAGUAUAGAGACAGUGUUUGAUUUGGUGGAGAUGGAAGAUGAUGAGAGGCGUGAGCUCUUGCAAAUGUCAGACUUGCAGCUUCUGGAUAUUGCCCGGUUCUGUAACCGGUUUCCAAACAUUGAUUUGACGUAUGAUGUGCUGGACAGUGAUAAUGUGAGUGCUGGAGAUGAUGUAAGUGUGCAGGUAACCCUUGAGCGAGAUCUUGAAGGUAGAACAGAAGUUGGACCUGUUUUUGCACCUAGAUAUCCCAAAACCAAAGAGGAAGGAUGGUGGCUUGUUGUCGGGGAUACAAAGAGCAACCAAUUACUGGCCAUUAAGAGAGUCACCCUCCAAAGGAAAUCUAAGGUCAAGCUGGAUUUUGCUGCCCCUGCUGAAGCUGGAACAAGGAACUACACACUCUAUUUCAUGUGCGAUUCUUAUCUGGGUUGUGACCAGGAAUACAACUUUACUCUUGAUGUUAAAGAGGCAAUGGCUGAAGAUGACAGUUGAAGAGAAUGAUGUAGCUUUUUUCUUUUUUUUGACAACUUUUCCCAAGUGCUUUAUCUAUCUCUGUAGACAAUCUAGUGGUGAUUAGUUAUGUGGCUUUCAGUUGGUACUAGAUCCUUCAGUUUCACUGCUGCACCUGCUUUAUAGCUUCGGUUAUCCUUAUUUAGGAGGACUUGUUCAGUAUGAAUUGAAAAUGGAUGUACUCGGUUUUUCAAUUACUUUAAUGUUUCUGCUCGUGCCCUGAUAGAGAAUGGUUGCUGAACUUUGACGAUUGAAACUAAACAUGUCUUGUUAUGUUUUCCUUAUUUCUUGAAUGGGGGCAGUAGGUAUCUUAAUCAAUUAGAUAGGACUAAAUCAAAGUUACCCAAAUAUAGCACAAAUGAGGAAGCUGCUCUAAUAACAUUACCAUACUUAAAUUUCAGAAUCAAAUAAUCAAUUACACUAAUUGUUGUUCUGAUUCUAAUCGGAUGCAUAAUUAAUCAAGCGAGAGACACACGCCAAGAUGAAUGGAUAUUCAAAUGCAUAUCGAAAGUUAUUAGAAAUGCAAAUGCAUACCGUACUCAUUUGGUUAAAACCAAUUCGGCCAGCCAAAGAUGCUAAACAUAUAAGGAUGUAUAACUCAUAUGCAUUGCAAAACAGAUCUCUAAAUGACAUGCUGAAUCAUGCUAAUAAGACUUACUAAAGUUUUCUUUUAAAAAAAAUGAAGCUCAAACUGGAGGAUCAUGUCACAGUACUACUUCAAAACAGUGAGAAUAUCGAUCAACAAUCUAAAUAGAAGAUUACUGGUGUUGAACACAGCUCGCAUAAGAGCGAAACCAAGAGACCAUAAAUAGUAGUGCAAAUUCCCAGUCUUAGAAUCUGUUCAUAAAGAGUUGAGAAAACACAUAUGUAGCUCAAGUAUUUAAGAAAAUAUACCUGGGUCGGAUUUUAACACAGUGAAACGUCAGAGUUUUCAAUUGAAACUGAACCGAUUACAGUGUUGGGCUAUGGCCAUGUUUCAGCCAUAAGCCCAUGGCCUAAUCCUUUUUGGAAAAGGAUUGGAAUUUUUCUCCUUAUUUGGUUUUCAAUCCUAUUAGAAAAAGGAUUUGAGCUGUAAUUCUAUUUGGAGUUAGAUUUUGGCUAAAAACACAACUUCUAUUAGAAAAAGGAUUUGAGCUGUAAUUCUAUUUGGCUUUAUAAGAAAAAACACAACUCUAUAAAUAGGAUGGCUUGAGAGAAUUAUUCAAUUGCUCAUCAGUCAUCAGUAUUGUUUUGAAAGACAAGGUUUUUUGAGAGAGCUUUCAACAACAACCUUCAAAUCGCGUUUCUCGAUCUGAAGGCUGACACAGAGAUGAAUUUUUUGCGUUCACCUUUGAAUCGAGAUAGCGUCAUAUUUUAAUAUCAGUCACACCACAAUAGAGCGUUUUAGCUCUUCUGUGACCUCCAAAACAAAUUUGAAGGGGUUGCUGGAAAUAUUGGCGUCAGCAUCGGAGUUUGAACAGCUGCCAAUACGACCAGGUGAAGAGGAAUCGAUAAAAAGAUUGAUUAAUCAUCUGCCAUUCUCUUUUGAGAAUCCGAAAUACACAGAUCCUCAUGUCAAGGCUAAUGCUCUUUUACAAGCCCAUCUCUCUAGGCGAAUGGUGGUUGGAAAUCUUGCUUUUGAUCAGCGAGAGGUGCUUCUUUCUGCUUCUAGGCUGCUUCAAGCAAUGGUUGAUGUUGUUUCCAGUAAUGGUUGGCUUAGUCUAGCACGGAGGUGAGCCAGAUGGCGACACAGGGGUUGUGGCAUCGUAACUCGAUGCUUCUCCAGCUUCCACACUUGACAGAGGAAUUGGUUAAGAAAAUCGUAUAGAGACAGUGUUUGAUUUAGUGGAGAUGAAAGAUGAUGAGAAGGGUGUGCUCUUGCAAAUGUCGGACUUUCAGCUUCGGCAUAUUGCCCGGUUCUGUAACCGGUUUCCAGACAUUUAUUUGAAGUAUCAUGUGCUGGACAGUGAUAAUGUGAGUGCUGGAGACGAUGUAAGUGUGCAGGUAACCCUUAAGCGUAGAAGAACAGAAGUUGGACCUGUUAUUGCACCUAGAUAUCCUGGUACAAAAGAGCAAGGAUGGUGGCUUGUUGUCGGGGAUACAAUGAGCAACCAAUUACUGGCCAUUAAGAGAGUUAUAACCCUCCAAAGGAAAUCUAAGGUCAAGCUGGAUUUAGCUGCCCCUGCUGAAGCUGGAACAAGGAACUACACACUCUAUUUCAUGUGCGAUUCUUAUAAGGGUUGUGACCGGGAAUACAACUUUACUCUUAAUGUUAAAGAGGCAAUGGCUGAAGAUGACAGUUGAAGAGAAUGAUGUAGUAGUGAUUAGUUAUGUGGCUUUCAGUUGUACUAGUUCCUUCCUUUUUUAUUAAAGCUAGACUUCAGUUUCAAUUCUGCAACUGCUUUUCUCUUUUCUCUUCAUGUAGAACAAUGUUAUAUUUUUAUAAAAUUACUUCGAUAUGUGUGCACUCAAUUUCGUGUCCUAUGGGCUAUGGUACAAUAAUUAUUGGAUGUAUCUUCAUAAGUGAAAUUCACGAUUGAAACUAAACAUAUCGGGUUAUAUUUUCCUUUUUUUUCUUGAAUUGAGACCUAGGUAUUUUAUUAUUUUCUGUAUUUAUUUGUUUGGCUUAUUCUUUAAGAUGUAAAGUUGGACAAAUCGAAAUCUCUAUUCUAUUUUUAUCCUCAUAAAUUAGUAUCAAUAAAAGAGGUAACAUAUAGUCAACUGUUUUCAAUAUUUUUGAAAUUUUAAUUUUCAAAAAUUUAUAAAUUAAGAUGAGAAAUUGAGAAUUUUAUUACUACUAGUACUAAAUAAGGGCUUAAUGAUCAAAAAGGUUAAAAAAUAAAAUAAAAAAUCAUGUGCGUAAGCAUCACGCUUUCUUAUAACUCUUAUAUAAACCUUUCUUCCCUCUUCAGGCGUCUCACUAUCUUUUCUCUUUCUAACAAAAAAUAAAUAAAACCUCUGUUAUAAGAAACACAGCAACCGUACGGUUAACAAUGUCUAGCGCCGAGCCUAAACACGAGCACAGAGAAGAGGAAGAAGCCGCUGGAGCCGAUGACGAAGAUACCGGAGCUCACGUUGCGCCGAUUGUCAGGCUCGAGGAAGUUGCCGUAACAACUGGCGAAGAGAACGAAGAUGCUAUCCUCGAUUUGUAAUUGAUUUCUCUGAUAAUCGUGUUUAUUUUUUUCGAUCUGCUUCGAUUUCUAGGAAUGAUGAAUAACUUUAAUACUUGUGAAUUUGUCGUAACAGGAAAGCGAAGCUAUAUCGAUUUGACAAAGAGGGAAAUCAGUGGAAAGAGAGAGGUGCUGGUACUGUUAAGCUUUUAAAGCAUAAGGAAACUGGAAAAGUUCGUCUUGUUAUGCGUCAAUCUAAGACUCUUAAGAUCUGUGCCAAUCAUCUAGGUUUGUUUAUAGUUCGAUUCGUGACGUUUACUUGCAUGAUUAAAGUUUAUUUUAUUCAAUUAUGUGUUUCAUUUGAUUCGGGAUCUGAGAUUUGGACUCUGAUUCGGUGCUAUGCAGUUAUUCCGACGAUGACAGUUCAGGAACAUGCUGGAAACGAAAAGUCCUGUGUGUGGCAUGCCGCAGAUUUUGCUGAUGGUGAAUUGAAGGAUGAAUUUUUCUGUAUUAGAUUUGCAUCGUUAGAGAGUAAGAAUUUCUGAAUCUGCUGGUUCGGUUAAUUUUUACUAGAUUCUAGGGUCUUGUUUGAUAGAUGAAGCUUUCAAUUAGCUAAAAUCUGCAAUUUCCUUUUGUCGUGAUUGCCUUUGCCCCAUAAUUGCUAGUCAUUAUAAUGGCUCCUUUUGUGCCUAUGGUUAUAACAUUAGAUUUUUGUUUGGAGAACAUUUCAUUCUCUACUGAAUGCUGUAAUGGGUGCACGUAUUGUAGUUGUAGAUUUCUGAAGUAUUCAGAUCAAUUGAGUAUAGAAGCUCACCAGUUAAUUACUGUACUUUAGGUAUGAUUUGUAGUUUCUCAUUUUCUUCUUGUUAGUCACCAACUCAAGCUUGUCUCUAUGAUUGGAAAACCUACACUAACAUACACUUCUGUUGUGUGCAUAUGAUUUAUUUCGUUUUGAUUGUUCAUAAACUAUCAGUCUAGUUGAAACUACCAGUUACUCCACUCUGGAAGAUUGAAUGUAGUGACAAUCAUAAGAUUAGAUCUUCAGGUCUGAGGUGUAAAAUUCUGCAAUUCAUCUACUUGAGCGUAAUUGGGAUGCAAAGGUGUUCCAGUAGUUUUGGCGUAUGAGGCUAUGAUUGUUGUUUGGAUUGGGUGAUGGAUCAAGGCAAGAUUAUAGUACCACCAAAUUAUGUUUUGGGUAGUUUGUUGGUGUAAUUUAGAUAACCAAAUGUCUCGAUAGAUUCUGAGUUGGGGUGUGUAGGGGAGGAGGUAGAAGUGUACUUAGAUGGACAGGGAAAUAGAAUUUUGCAAGCUCUGCUCCUCUUCAAGCCUAUAUAAGUUGUCUAUAUUAGAACCAAUGGCUUGAUGUUUCAGAUGUUGAAGUUUAAUAGAGGUUAUUUCAUAUCCGAGGUACCUAUUCAGCUAUUCUCAACAUGAGAUGUUAGUUAUGGAUUUAAUGGUGUGUAUUCCUUGAAUAUAUAUAAGCUAAUAGCAAGAAAGAGUGAUCAAGGAAGUUAAGAUACCCUACGUAGUACAUCCUUGCCUUUUGAAAAUUGAAACAGUGGUUGAAGCAUGAAUAGAACUUGGAAGAGUAAAAUCCCUAUUAAGGUUGAUUGCAGAAACUAGGGAAUUGAUGAGUCCCUAAAUUCUUUUCCAAUUCUAGACUUAAGUGCAGGCUCAAGAUUAUAGAUGUACAAAUUUUACUGCUCAACAUUGUGCGCUAUGAAUAAAGAUCAUCUCACCUGUGACUCUGGUUGUCAACAGUCUGAUCUCUUCCAUGCCUUAGGCCCUCCUAUAUAGUAGAUCCACGACUUUGCUGAUGUGGGAAAAGCAAACCAAACCUUAAACUGAUAGGUGACUUCUCUCUGCAAGGGAAUAACAUGUAUAUUAUUUUUGUUUAGUGGCAACAUACAUAUUAUCUUAUACCUUUCAAUUAUUUGGUUGUGUUUUUAUUCUCAUUAUAUUAAAUUGGUAAUACUAUCAUACGAGUAGUACCAAUAUUAUACCUUACUAAGAUUUAGGCCAGGUUGGGAUUAGCUGAGAGGGGAGUGAUGGGACAACUGUAUGUAAGGUAGACCCCAUGUUUCUGCCUUCUGCUAUAGUUCCGAAAUCCCCAAAUUCCAGAAAUAAUGUCAUUGCAGGCCUCACAGGUUUUGAAUCUAAAACAUUAGACUGCAAAUCAGAUGCACCGUUAGAAGGCAAAACCACAACCUCAGUCUACAGAAACCUAUUAAAAAUGCCCCCAUUUAUGAUUCUCCAAACUGGAACUGCCAAUGACCUAAGUGAUUGAUCUUUUAUUAUUAAGUUGUUGAGAACCUUUAGGUCAUAUCCUCUUGAUUGAGGUCCGUGUAGUGUUGAGAGUGAACUGAUCUUGGACUUCUCUCCAGAAUCCUAGGUACUGGUAAAAGGAAUCAUGGUUAAUACUGCUUGCUUGGUUACCUACUUGAGAGUGAUUGCUCUUUAGGGACUUGAGGACUGGUGCUUUAUAAAUUAUCAACUAGGACUCUUGGAUUACAAGGCGUGGAAUGAAACCUAGCCGGGUAUGGAAGGUGAUGUUUCAAUUACCAGGUCCUUUAGGACUCCUAAACUGGAUCUUCAUUGCAGUUUUUACUCAACAUAUUGGAGUUAAUUACAGUUUCAAGGGAUUAGAAAAUUUCCCAUGAUUGGAGAUAAGUCAAACACUGGAUGAGACUUGAGAGGGGCCCUGGAAGUGAUUCUGAGGAUGUUGUAGAUUAGUAGUAUGUAUGAUUAUGUCCCUGAUUCUUUUAUGUUGCUGCCUGUUUUUUAAUUUUUUUUCUCCUCAGCAAAAAUGAUGUCUUAGUGUAAUGUUUUUAUUCUUAGAUUGCAAGACCUUCAUGGAGACUUUCCAAGAGGUUGCUGAAUCACAAACGAAGAAAGAGGAAAAUGUGGAUGCAUCUAAUGCUGCUGGCCUACUUGAGAAGUUGAGUGUCGAAGAUAAGAAACCAGAGGAGAAGAGCGAGGAAAAAACUGAAGAAAAAGUUAAGGAAGAUGACGUCAAAGAAGAGAAGCCUUCUGAUAAUGCAGAGAAAAAGGAAGAGGCUGCUUCAGCCUGAGAGAUGUAUGUCAUGUACGCCAAAUGUAGUUGGUGAGGUUUGUAGCACCUCCAUUUUUGCCAACCAAAUUUGGGUAUAGUCUGGUCAAGUGCAAGGGGUGUUUACUUCUGGGUGUUGCUUUGGGGCGGGGUCGUCUGGGGUGGGGGGAGGUUGUUAUUUGUUUGUCCAUCUCUGAGGUGUUUCAACAUCUUGGGGAAACUCACGUCAAGGUCGGGUCUUGUUCUUUGAUUGAGGUAUUGUGUUGGUCUAUUGUACGUCUUGGUAUUAUAUACCCAACUGUACGUUGCUUAUGUAAGUCCUCUUUUUGAGGCUGUUCUUUCUCUUGGUUCCAUAUAAUUCAAUUCAUUACUUAUUUGGGGAAGUUGAAUCCACUGGUAGGUUUGCUGAUGUUUUUGUUUCUAUGAAUGCGACUUCUUAUUUUUUAAAUUUUAAAAAAUGGCAUGGUAAGAGAAACAGGCUCUGUUUUGGUCUCAUCAGUUGAGUAUCGCGAAGGAAAUCACUCGGUUUGUAUGAUAUAUAGACACGAGAUGCUGCUCACAGUACUGCACUGUGAUCAGACUGCUGUCUGUUUUGGGUCUCUUGGAACUUUGAUUUAAAGAGUUCUCUGGAUAUUUGGUUUACUUUCAAUGUACAUGUAAGAGUGGAGUUGUCUCAAACUGUGUAGUAGGUUCACUUGGUCACAAACUACUGAGCUCGUAUGUGGAAUCCUCAAUGAAACAGCUCGUGAGCGGAUAAUGAAGCUUCCUCUUUUGAUUUACGUAAAAAGAAAACAAGAUAUGUAGUAAUUACUGAAUACAUAUUUACCUUUCUGUGUAGCCAUUCUUUGAUUACAGGCAAUGUUAAUGAGCUGCAUAUAGUUAUUGGUUUUAUACAAUUUAUUUUCUUUAUGACUUGUUACGCCUUUUAAGAAUAUCAGUAGUUAAACUGUUCAUGGUUCGUCAAGAAAGCUACAUUAACAUUUUAAAUAUAACUCCUAGGCUUGAGUUCUACGUACAAGACAGAUCGAUGAAGGAUAUUUACUGUUUAUGACCUAACUAUAAAAUUCUAAUAUGAUUAUAUAUUUGAAGUUGAACCUCUUCCUCUUACGUUAUUUACCCACUAAAAAUGUUAGACCAAAAUGAUACUUAAAAAUAAAAUUGUACAACAAUUAUAUAGUAACCCCGAUCAUUAAGCCAAGACAUUCGUUCUGUAUUGGGUACCUCGAAAUAUUUGAAGCAAAAAAAACUGACCACCUCUCCAAGAAACCACUAUCUUUCACUCAAUUUUCCCUAUCUUUUCGAAUCUUAACAAAUUGACUUCUUUUAUUUUUACAUACAUGUAUAUAUUUUUUCCUUAUGUCUUUCAUUUUCCCUGUAUCAAUUUCCUCAAAAACAAAAUAUGGACAAUGCAAAUGGCACCACUUCCUGUAUCCAAAACUCACAUUCUUCUUCCGUUAUUGCGAGCCCUGACGCAACCUUAGGGCGCCAUUUAGCCCGAAGGUUACUUGAAAUUGGCGUUGAGGAUGUUUUCUCAGUGCCUGGUGAUUUCAACCUCACACUUCUUGAUCACCUAAUUGCUGAGCCAAGGCUUAAGAAUGUUGGUUGUUGCAAUGAGCUUAAUGCUGGAUAUGCUGCUGACGGGUAUGCGAGAUCUCGAGGCGUUGGUGCGUGUGUUGUCACGUUCACUGUGGGUGGGCUUAGUGUGAUUAAUGCUAUUGCUGGUGCUUAUAGUGAGAAUCUUCCUAUUAUCUGCAUUGUUGGAGGUCCUAAUACUAAUGACUAUGGAACUAAUAGAAUACUGCACCAUACUAUUGGAUUGCCUGAUUUCAGCCAAGAACUUAGGUGUUUUCAGACUGUUACAUGUUAUCAAGUAAGUUAAGUUCUAGUUUUGGAUUCAGAAUUUGAAGUUUACAGGUUACUAUGUACUAUGUUAAGAUUGACAAGUAAAAGUGAAAAUUUAUUUUUGGAAUACUAGACAAGUAAAAGUGAACGGAGAGAGAGAGUACUACUUUUUAUGUAGUUCUUUAGAUAAACAAACUUUAUUUCUAAGAACUUGAGGAUUCUAUGUCCAAAUUUACACUGAAAAGUAAGUACUUUGACCCUUAUACACCGAACCAUGUCAAACACGAAAUAGAAGAUGGUGCUUAUAUCCAAAGAAAAAUUCUACUCCUAUUUCUUUCCCCCAUUAAUACAAUGCAAAAAGUUCCCUACAUAUCCAACUAAUUGUAUGUUUCUAUGUUUGGUUGUGUUAGGCUGUGAUAAAUAACUUGGAGGAUGCACUUGAACAAAUUGAUAGAGCAAUUUCUACUGCUCUAAUAGAAAGAAAGCCAGUAUAUAUUAGUAUCAGUUGCAAUUUGCCAGCCACCCCUCAUCCAACAUUCAGCAGGGAUCCCAUUCCAUUUUUUCUAUCACCUAGGUAUGUGCUACAUUAUCAAUUAUUCUUACAUUUAUAAAGAACUUGCAUGACAGUGGCGGAUAUAAACUAGACGCAGCGAGUUCACAUAUCCAUCGUGUCUAGCUCAGAGUAUAUAUGUGUGAAAAAAUGGCACAUAUCUAAAGAGCAGAACUCAUUGACUCAUAAUUCUGGAUCCGUCAUUGUUGCAUGAGAGCUAUUUUUUAACUUACCUUUAGAACUUACAAUGGCUGAUCAAGACUUGACACAUGAGUUUGACUAUAUAUGUGUAUGUGAAAAGAGACUGGCACAUAUAUAAAGACGGUAAUUUUCCCGUCGAAGGAGGUUCGGAUGAACCCCUCAACCCUACCUACUUGGCCUACCUGGCUCCCCCCCUGAUGGCGGAUCAAGACCAGAUGCAGUGGGUUCGCCUAAAUAUGCGUGUGUGAAAAGAAAUUAGCACAUAUAUAAAGAGAAGAACUUACUGACCUUAAAUCUAAUCUUGGAUUCGCCACUGUUGUAUGUGAAAUGUUCUUUCAACUUACAAUUAGAACUUAUUGAUACAGGCUAAGUAGCAAGAAGGGGUUGGAAGCUGCAGUGGAUGCAGCAGUGGCCUUUCUAAGCAAGGCAGUAAAACCAGUCAUGAUUGGAGGGCCAAAGCUAAGAGUAGCUAAAGCUUGUGAUGCUUUUGCUGAACUUGCUGAUUCUUCUGGUUAUGCCAUGGCAAUGAUGCCAUCAGCAAAAGGGCUAGUAGCAGAACAACACCCUCACUUCAUUGGCACUUACUGGGGUGCGGUAGGCACAUCCUAUUGCGCGGAAAUCGUUGAAUCAGCUGAUGCUUACUUGUUUGCUGGUCCGGUUUUUAAUGAUUACAGCUCUGUUGGGUACUCACUUUUGAUCAAGAGAGAAAAGGCGUUAAUCGUGCAGCCUGAUAGAGUUGUAAUUGGAAAUGGACCAGCAUUUGGUUGUGUCCUAAUGAAAGAUUUCCUAUCUGAACUAGCAAAGAAAGUAAAGAAAAACGAAACUGCUUAUGAUAACUAUCGUCGGAUCUUUGUUCCUGAAGGAACUCCUCCAAAGCCGGAGCCUAACGAACCUCUAAGAGUCAAUGUUCUGUUCCAACAUGUACAGAAGAUGCUUUCAGCUGAUACAGCUGUGAUUGCUGAGACAGGGGAUUCUUGGUUCAAUUGCCAGAAGCUUAAGUUACCAGAAGGAUGUGGGUAUGUGACUAAUAAAAGCUUAACAGCCUGGUAUCCAUUUUAUUUUGAGUCAUUAGACGUAAAAAGUUCGUGUUGCAGGUAUCAAUUCCAGAUGCAAUAUGGCUCCAUUGGUUGGUCUGUUGGUGCUACUUUGGGCUACGCACAAUCUGUACCCAAAAAACGUGUCAUAUCUUUCAUCGGUGAUGGAAGUUUUCAGGUAAGAAAAUGACUUCCGUCAUACCAGACACAAUUAUUUGUUUGGAGAACUAAAUUUUGGAUACCAGGUUACUGCACAAGACGUGUCAACAAUGAUUCGUUGUGACCAAAAACCUAUCAUUUUCUUGAUUAAUAAUGGUGGUUACACCAUUGAGGUUGAAAUCCACGAUGGGCCUUAUAAUGUGAUCAAGAACUGGAACUACACUGGUUUGGUGGAUGCACUUCACAAUGGUGAAGGCAAUUGCUGGACCCAAAAGGUAAGUGUUACUUACUCUACAUAGAAAUGUUCAUCCAUACUUCCAACAAAAAAACGUUGUUUUCAAAUUGUUUUAUAACUGGAUUGUAGGUAAGGACGGAAGAGGAGCUGACAGAAGCAAUCGCAACUGCAACUGGAGAGAAGAAAGAUUGCUUAUGUUUCAUUGAAGUUAUUGUUCACAGGGAUGAUACUAGCAAAGAAUUACUUGAAUGGGGAUCUAGAGUCUGUUCUGCCAAUGGACGUCCACCAAACCCUCAAUGAGUCUGCUAGAUUAGUUUUUAUUUCCAGCACUUCUUUCUACUUUUUCGAUAACACCCGAGCCGUAUUAGAAUUCUUUGUUUAAACUCUCAGUAAUCAGAAUUAAUUACCAUUUAAUAAAAUGGAUUUUUGGACUAUUACCUGUCUCCAUCUAUUACAGUUUCACCCAGCUGAUUUAACAAUUCCCCUUCAAUAUCAGACGGUUUUGGAAAUUGAAGGUUCAAUGUUAGGAGUCAGCUUCUAUGAAUUCCCACUGACUAAACGAUUCACUAGUUAAUGAAGGCAAAAAUUUAGCAUUUCAAACUGUUAAACCUCUCUGAUAUGUAUAUAGCUAGAUAACUAGCAGACUACCGUAUGAGAAAAGACUCAUUGCUCAAAAAAUGAACUGGGAUAAGAAAGUAUGACCAAAAACAAUGCAUUACUUUUCAAGUUUAACAAUCUGUCUUGUGUUCAACUUCACUGAAAGCUAAAAGCUAAACACAAGUGAAUAUCUAUUUCAGUAUGCAGCAAAACACUGUUAAUCCUUCAAAUACAGAAGACAAAACAGUCGUAGUUCACUCUGUUUGGGACAUUGUCGCAUCUUCACAAUAUUAGCAGGCCAAUAAGCCAUUUGGUAAAAGAAAAAACGGAUCGAGAUGAAUCAGUAAUUAAGGAGUAAAUAUCAUAAACUUGAGCCAAAAAUGGCUCCCAGAGUUUCAAUACACCUCAGAAACAGAAAUACAUUAGGUUUAGGUGCCAUUAGCACAAUGUAACUACUGAAAUUUAACUGCAAACACAGAAAAUAAGACAAAAACGCAAUAACCUAGAGGGACGGAGAUAUGUCAAAAGCUAAGAACUGCAAAGUACAAUUCUACUUAGAUCUCUGCCUCAUCUUUCGGCGCUUCCUCUUCAAUCUCCUCAUACGCUUCUUCUUCCACUGAAAUGAAAAAAAAUGCGCAGUGAGCACCAUCACAUAUUAAUCGCAAUAAAAAAAGUAGCACAUGUAAAGCUUCAACAAUGGAGCAUGAUUCACAAAUCGGUAGUGAUAGGAGUAUUAUUCUGUAUCAAUCGACUUAAAAUUCUAGAUCCGUCUGCAUAAAACUACAAUCUAAAAAAGGAAAAAACGAGACGAAGACGUCUACGUACCUUGGCUCUCAUGGUGAAUCAGCUACGACGGAAGGGAGUCUAUUUACUGCCUGGCCGGAGUGAACUUACCGAUGAAGAAGAGAAGCUGCACGAUGAGAACGGAAGUGAGGACUGGUGGAAUAUAAAAGGAAACCCUAAGAGUGGAUAUGACUAAUGGGCUUUGGGGCAAAUCAUCCGAGAAAUGGGCCCAGUCUCUGUAGGAUUUGCACCAAGUAACCAAAAUAUAUGCCUUAUGUUUAAUUUUUCAAGUAUUUAUUUUUUAGACAUCCAAUUUAUGUUUGUAUUCCUACAUGAAUUCAUUAAUUUUCUUAAAAUAAAAAACAUAUAGGAGUAGUUAAAAUUACAUUUUAUGAAAAUACUAUAAAUGUUCAUAAUAUAUAUUUUAAUACAUUUGUAUUUGAUCAAAUGCAAGUUUAUUUGAUCUCAUACAUGAUAACAAAGAAAAAAGAUUGUUCGAUCAUUAAAUUAUGGAGUAAUUCUUUUAUAUAAAAAUACGAAUCAGAGUAAUGGAAAAAGUAUCAAAAUGUGCUGCAUGGAUUGUCAAGAAUGAAAUGAUAUAAGUUAGUAGUUAAUUAAAUUUACUACCUAUAGCUAAAACCGACAUCUCCAAGAAAGAGAAACAUCACAUAAAUUAAAAAACCUACUUUCUACUAGUCUCCAACCUAAUUUUCAUGCCUUAUUGAAAUAUAUAUUAUUGUUUGUUCAAUUUUUUAUAGUAUAUAAUAUUAACAAAUUAAUACACAAAAAUCUUCAUCCCGUCAAUCACGUUUUAACAAACAAAUAAAGAGUAAUAUUUUCAUAAAAACAUAUAAUAGAUGAAAAUAUUCAUAAAUUUUCUUUGAUUUGAAUUGCAUCAAAACUGGAGUUGCAAAUUAUCAAUCUGCAACUCCAAUUGAUUCAUGAUAAAUAUAUAUGAUUAAUCGUCACUCAAAGGUAUAAUCCAAAUCCUAUAUAGAAUUCAACUUUCAUUUUCCAUUAUUAUAGUCUUAACCUAAAAAUUAAAUAUUUUUCCCCCAAAUUUUAUUCUUAUCAAAACAGGAAAAAUUUAACCAACCAUUUCAAUUUUUGUUCUUUUUCUCAGUUUUCCACAUCUUGCAAUCUCCGUCUCUCUUUAAACCUAUCGUCCUAUCCACAACUGACGACUACUUUAAUUACAUAAUUUUUAUUAUUAUUAUAUUCAGUUAGCAUAAGCCUACAGGAAUACUUUUUUCUUUUUUUUGUUUGGAGAGAAAUUGUAGCUUCAAGCAAAAAUGGGUACUGGUUCAUCGAAGAACACAGACAGUAGCUCGCAUGGCAGCGAAGAUAGAGAAGAUCAUGGAGGAGGACAGCUUUACGUUUCUCUCAAAAUGGAGAAUUAUAAGCUUAAAGGAGAACUCAUUCCUCAUGUUUAUGGUUCCGUUCCAUUAAUUGGCUCAUGGGAUUCAUCUAAAGCUGUAAUUUCAUCACUCUCACCUUUUUCAGUUUUUCCUUUUGAUUUUUGUGAUUAAUAACUAAUGCAGUUUUGUUUUUCAUUAUCAGCUUCCGAUGGAACGGGAAUCAACUUCUAUGUGGGAACUGAGUUUCGUUGUUCCUCCUAAUCACGGUUAGUUUACUAUUGUGAUUUUGUUAAAUUUGUGGUUAAUUCAUGGAAUGAAAAUCUAUGGUAAUUUCAUUUGCGGAUUUGCGGAAUGGAGUUAUAGGAGGAUUAGUAUAGUUGACCCGAACUAAAUAGGGAUUGGGAAGUAGUUGAUUGAUUGAUUUUUAUUUGUAUAGAGACAUUGGACUUUAAGUUCCUUUUGAAGCCAAAGUACAAUCAUGAGCCUUGUAUAGUGGAGGAAGGCCCAAACCGUGUACUUAUUGCUGGAACGUUGCAAGGGGAUGGGCGUUCAGCCUCGUUUAAGCUGGAAAAUGAAGAGAUUAUUGAAUAUAGAGUGUUUGUUAAAGCAGACAGAGUUUCACCAUUUGACCUUGCGGCUAGUUGGAGAGCCUUUCAGGAAAAUCGCAGGCUUUCUACUGUUCGAGGAGUACCAGAUGUUAGCAUAAAUUCGACACCAGCAAUGGGUGCAGAGGUAAGAUGUUGCUAUUGUUUGACUGCUAGUUGUAAAUGCUGCUUUGUAACCAUGGUGCUAGAUGCCUGUGAUUACUGUCUUACUAUCGUGUUAGAUGAUCUCUCCAUGUGAAUGAGUGUUUGUUUAACAUGCUGGAGCUCAGAAGCCUUGUGCUCACAUUUGGUGCAAAUGUAGAAACUAUACUAUUACAGGUUAUUGCAUCAACAGAUAUUGUACAUUUAAAUUUAAAGGGAGAUAAUUUGCUCUUCUUUAGGAGUAAAAUGAGGUUGCAGAUUUUGAUAUUGAAGAUGUUUUAAUUUGAAUAAAGAUGUUUAGCCUAUGCCUUUUGUUACUAUAUGUGUAAUUUUGAGGAAACUAUUGACUUUCAUGUUUCUUAUCAGUGCUCCUAGUUUUUCUGCUUCCGUCUAUUGGUCAAAUUAUUCUUGUGUUUAGCUUCUUCAGAUGUCUGUGGAUGAAUAUUGCUUACCAGGGUUGUUUCUAUAGAUUUUGGCAGUUGGUUAUGUUUUUCAUAUAUGCCUUAAUUAUAUUAAUUAUAUUUUAAAUAUUUUUUCUCGACAGCAUGGCUCUUCGGCUAGUCUAGAGCUUGAUCUUGAACAUUAUGUUGUCCCUGCUCCAGCAACAUCUGCACCGGUUUAUGCUGCUAACUUGACAGAAACUCCUAGGUCUCUAACACGUAAAGGGGUAUUUUCUGGGACAGAUGGCACUAUCAUUCCAAGGCCUUCCUCAAAAGAUGGUCACACUUCAAAUGAUCGGUCUGCUACAAUAAAGGUUCUUGUGGUGCCUUUUGACUUGAGGUCUAGUUUGACUAUAGGACUUGAGAUUUUGUCUAUCUUUAUCCCAUUCUUAUCAAAACAAAACAAACCCCCAAAGUGCGCUUGAGAUUCAGAGUUAUACUAAUUCUCUGACUAUUUUUUUUGGGAUAAGUGUUUCACUGUAAUGCAUUCCCAUAAUUUAAGAGAAAUAGGCAUUAGCAUUUUUGUAAUACAUGAUAAUGAUCAUCAUUUUACUCAGUAAAAUGAAAAAGCUAUUCAACCCUGGUACUUAUAUUAUAUACUAAUCUUUUUCAUCCUCCAGCUAAAAAUCUUGUAUAGUAAGCAUCUUUGACACUCAUAUAACCAAUCAUAGAGGCUAUUUAAAUUUUUAUCCCAUAUUAUGCACAGAAGGUUUUACAUUCGCUGGAAACAUGCAUGUUAUGUGACUAGUGUUCUCCCUACUUAAUUUACCAACCUUAUGCUUUUAUUCAUUCUACAUGUAUUACCAUUUUCUUUCAAAUUGUACCUCAUUGGUUAAGAGCCACAGUUGAUUCACAUUAUGCCGUCUUUUUAUCAUCCAGCAGAUGGAAGUAAUUGUCCCGGAUCCAACUAGAGUCCCCUCAGGGUCUGGUACGGUUGAAUCCAAGUCCAUGGGUGCGUUCUCGUCUUUGCAAAAGCAAGAUAGUUACAGGGGAAUCCUUGUAGAUAGGGGUGUGGGAUCUCCAAGACUAGUAAAAUCACCCAGUACAACCAGUUUUACUCUUGAUCUCAAGCCUGAUUCAGAUGCCAAGGUGUGUAGAAAUCUAAUGUUUCUGUUGUGAUGAAUAUUGUAAUAAAAUAUCUGUUGUAUCUUGGUUUAUGCAUCUGAUGUAUCAUUCUUUUAAAUUGUUUAGAAUGUGAUGCCAGCUGCUGCAGGAGCAGUUGCAGCUGGAGCUGUAGCUGAUCAGAUGCUUGGGCCAAAGGAAGACAUGCAUCUAGCAAUCGUUCUGGUAUUUUUUCUUUUAUGAUGAAGAACUGAUAAGCAUGUUAGUUUUGGUGUAAGCUUGUCAACUUUGAUGCUGAUGUUGUGCUCUCGGAUUGGAUUUCCUAUGUUCUUGGAAUAGUAUCUUAUGCAAUGAAUGAUCUUAGGAUUUGCUUAUGCUUCUUGCAGGUUGGCUUGCCAGCUCGUGGCAAAACUUUUACUGCCGCUAAGCUUACUAGGUAUCUUCGAUGGUUAGGUCAUGACACCAAGCACUUCAAUGUUGGGAAGGUAAAUUGUAGCACUUGUUUCUUCAAUGUCUUCCUAAAUUUGCAAACGUAAGGAAACUAACCAAUCUUUUUUCUGUGACAGUACCGCCGACUCAAGCACGGAAGUAAUCAGGUAGUUUAAAUUCCUGAAUUGAACUAUUUUUCUAAAUAUCUGCAGUCAAAUAGAACUGCCAUCUCACGUAUAAAAAAACAGAAAAAAAGAACUGUUAUCUUUCUUGUAUAGAAAACUAUGUUAAACUGAGAAUUCACUUGCCAAGACAUCAUUUAAGGUUCAUUAUCUGGUGGCCUUUUGGUUUAGGUGGUAUGAUUUUAUUUUGUAGAUGACAUCUAAAACAUUUGACACUUUGGGUUGUCCAUUUCAGCAAAGUACUACUACCACUUCUUUCAUACUGGUAUUACAAUAAGUAAUUGUAUCAAAGAUCUAAAAGCGGCUUCAAUCCUUUGUGUUCUGAAGAGACAAAGUUAAUAGUCCGUGGACAUCUUUUAUAUAGAAAGCAUACACCAUGAAAUGGAGAAAAUGAUAAAAAUUACAAAAAUGGUCCUUUAUCUUUGGUAGUAGGUUCAAAGUAGUUCCUUAAGUAUCAACUGUAACAUAAAAAAUUACACUACUUAUUGGAGCUUCUCCUCCUAGGAGCUGUAAGUUCGUAUUAAUUGAAAUACAAUCUGUGGAACUUCAUUUUCUUGUGUAUCUUGUUGACGCAGACUGCUGAUUUCUUCCGAGGUGACAAUCCAGAAGGCUUGGAGGCUCGCAAUGAGGUAAACUCUGUCAGAAUAGGUAUUGUGUAUUGUCUGUUUGCUAGAAGCCUGAAAUCAUCUUAAUUAGAUUGAACAUGAGGCAAGGUUCGGGCGGGUAUACUGAAUGCUAUGCCUGUAACGACUCACCAUAGUGCUCCUUCCCUCGCCCUUCCCCCUUAUAUGUCUUGCCCUUCCCCCUCCCUGCCCCAUUUUGGCCUCCAUCCUCCAUACAUAGGAUUUUGACACCGCCUGUUGUUAUAACUCAGCUAGUACACAUGUUUGGAUUGGAGGCUGUGGGGUUCAGCAAGGCUUUACUUCCAUCCCAAACUGAUAAUUACUUCACAUUAUUUUCUAAACAGUGUCAUUCUAUCAUGAGUUUGUGUGUAUAGUUGUAAUUAUUAUGUACAUACAUUAGUUAGCAGUGUCGGAUGACCUCACUUGAAGCAAUGGGGAAUUUUAGAGGAAAGAGGCAAGACCAGGAAGGUCAGAGGGUGAUCAUUAAGAAGGGCAGUACAUUCCGCUGUUGAAAUGGAGAUGUAGGCUCCACGUAAUGUAGUCAGAGGAGGUCUUUGUCUUCCCUUUCCUUGUCUAUUUGUCAACAUAUAUUGAAACGGGGGUUAAGUAUCAGUUUGAGAUUGGGAAAGAGAGGGAUGGGUGAAGAUUGAGAGGUUCAGUCAUAACCUGUAGCAAUAACGACUUUUUCCCCUUUGUGUUUUGUCUUCUGUACGGAAAUUACGCUUCUCCUAUUUUCUCUCUAUUAUUAGUUCUAUUUCCCGAAAAGAACCAUUAUGUGUGUCAGGGUUUGUUUUGGAGAGGUAAGGGUGUGAAACCUAAGUUCUGGUGGCUCACUUGAAUCAAAACCCCAGAAGAAUUACCAUUACUUGCAUAAAAAUUAUGGAACACCUAUCCCUGACCCCCACAAUGCAAGGAAAAAAAAUCCCAUCGCUGGCCUGUUCCACAUUUAGAUCUAUAUUCUCUAUUCGAUUAUGGGCAGUUCCUUCAUUGCUCUGCCUUAACAUCCCUAAUCUUAGUAGCCCCUCCUGGCCUCCCAGAGAAAAGAACAUAUGGAUAGGGCUUCUGUCAUAUCACAUGCAUGGGAAUUUUGCAAUUUGUAUCAAUAUUCUCCAUUGCCAAUUCAGCACCCAUUAAUUGGACAUUUGACCAUUCACUUUUAGAAAAAUUGAUUAAUAUUAUAUCUAGUUUGUAAGAGUGUUGUAGAAAAGAACAUGUUGCUUUCUCAUCUUGCUGUAGAAGUUACUUUCUAGGAUUUUGGGGUUUAGAUAUGGAUGGCCAUAGGCCCAUUUAUUGACAGUAUGACUGGUAAUUUUUAAAGAAAUUUCUAUUGUUGUUAUUCUUGUAGCCAUGGUAGGAGUUUAUUAUUGCAUUAUCCCUAGGGCUAAUGGGUAUAAAACUUUGAGUUGUAGUGCAUCAUCAAUAUCUCUUGUAGUUACAUUGGACUUAAUUUAUUCGUUGAAUUGACUUUCUUCUUUUCACAUAGUUUUAAUACAUCACAUGCUACUAGGUAGCUGCCCUUGCAAUGGAAGACAUGAUCGCUUGGAUGCAAGAGGGUGGUCAGGUAAGUCUUCUGUAAUUUUUAUGGAACAAUACCUGUUUCUGAGUUUUCGAUAACUAUAACCAUUACUGAAUGCAGGUAGGAAUUUUCGAUGCCACAAAUAGCUCAAGGAAAAGAAGGAAUAUGCUUAUGCAGAUGGCUGAGGGAAAAUGCAAGGUGAAUUCUUAUUGAUGGACAUCUAGUGUUAGUAUGUUACUGCUCUUAGUUUACUUCAAUGGAAUUGUAAGAUUUUUUUCCCAAGGCUUUGGUCUAGUGGUAAGAGCGAGCGCUGUAUAGGUUACACACACGUCAUAGAUAAAAACCUGAUAUUUAAGCGGAGAAGGAUUGAAGGGCAGACACACAACCUGUUGAAUUUUGAACCACGACCCUCGAAGAUUUCUCGGUUAUCACAAAAUAAAAGAACUGUAAGAUGUGUUUAAUUCUCAUCUAUGUAAGUGCAAUUGCAGGAUUUGAGUAAGUUCUUUAACAAUAGUUAAUAUUUACAAAUAGCGGUUUCAUCUAAUACUAUACCUUAUAUUGUUUCCAUGAGUUGGGUGCGGGAGUCGAGAUAACAUCGAAGUCCUUAUAGCGAUUAAGUCAACGUGCCCUUAUUACUUUUUUUGGAGUGGCGGUUGCAUGACACUGCGUUUGUUAGUUGAAACAAAGUCACUCCAACUUGUGUUUCUAGUUUCUUAGCACUUCAAAAAUUGCAGCAUCACCCACUUAUGUAUCUCAGUGCUUUAAUGUGUCUAAGUAGUUUCUUUUAACAGAUUAGUCCUUUCUUUCUUUUUUAAUUCAUUCUUUAUGUUUAUGUACUACUGGUUGUAGACAAGCCAAAAGAGAAGUGUACAUUUUAUGAUGAUACUUGUUGGUGGAUUUUGUGGAUCCAUAUGCAGAAGCCUAAGUUGUUUAUCUGCUCUUAGUUCUCAUUCUUGAAUUCUGUGAUGCUUUGCAUGCAGAUAAUUUUCUUGGAAACCCUCUGUAAUGAUCCUAAACUAAUUGAAAGAAACAUACGCCUCAAAGUUCAACAAAGUCCAGACUAUGCUGAAGAGUAUGAUGAUUUGCUGUAUCUUUUGGUGUUUCUCAUAUUAGUUAGAAAAGAACUUACAUAGUUGGCAUUGUUAAUUUGUUAUACAGGCCAGAUUUUGAAGCUGGAUACAGGGACUUCAAGAAUCGCCUUGAUAAUUAUGAAAAAGUAAUAUUAUUUAUCAUAGUUAUUAUGGUUGUUUUUGUCAUAUUUAUUUAUGAAUGCUUAACAUCAUAUUAUGUAAUGUUUGUCAUUUUCUUUUCUCCAAGGUUUAUGAGCCAGUAGAGGAAGGUUCUUAUAUUAAAAUGAUUGAUAUGGUCAGUGGUCAUGGAGGACAAAUACAAGUAAGUGACCUUGUUUUGAUUUGUUUCAUGUGUUGUUUAUUUGAGGACACUUCAAAAGGUCGAUGUAAGCAUUGGUAGCAACUAGCAAAUAUUGCAUUUUAUGUCCAAGGAAUUAGUUCCAAGGUGGACUUUAUUUAAACUUCUUGAUUUCUUCAUGAUGAUUUUGUGUUAUUCCACCGACAGUGAGCUACCUAUGAGGCUUGGCUCAAGUGGUAGGGUGUGCCUCUGAAGGUUUUUUAGGUCUUUGGUUUCAUACUUUUAACUAGGGUUACUUCUUUCCCCUCAUCGGGCUAACUUAGUGCUUAGCGGUUUGACUUUCAAUAGCCUUGUACCUCUAACUCUUCCUAUAAGUUGGUUUGUAACCUCAAAAUACCCUAUUAGCUCAGUCUUUUGAAGGAAUAUGAAGUUAUAUUUCUUCUGACUUCUUUAAGAUUUCAUCGCAUUUAACUUCAGUGAGAGCUAUAUAUCUUUUGGCGGUCUGGAGAUGGGUAAACAGUUUGAUAGUGAAGGACUCUGUAUAAAAUUGGUUUAUAUGCUUUUUACAGGCUGACAUAAACUUUUCAGUACCAAUUUCAUUUUCAUAUGGGUCGAAUUUUAGGAGUUGGAGAAAAGAUGUAAUCUAUGGUGCAGACGAUGUUUAGAUUGGCUUCAGUAAGAAUUCGAAAGCUAUUGACAGUGGAUUGUUCAGUUAAUUAAAGAGGAAAGAGAGGUGGGAGCAAUCAGAACAGGCUACAGGACCUUCUCUUUCUUUCUUAAUAUGCCUAUGCAGCAGUGUUCAAAUUUGUCAAUCUUUUAGGCUGGCCUUGUUUGAGUUACUAGUUGGUAGCAUCUCCAGUUAAGUAUGAAGUGAGGCUUGUAUAAGUUUAUUAAUGACUGAUUCGCAAAAUUGAUGGAAGUUUGUGCCACUGUCAAGAUUCUUCUAGUGUUAUCCUAAUUACUCGUGUAAGAUCAAGAGAUGUGUUAGUGUAAUGCCAGAGACAUCCAUGCACUUGUAUAAUAAAUUACUCCCUCUGUUCACUUUUACUUGUCCACUAUUUCAGAAAUAGUUUUUCAUUUUUACUUGUCAUUUUUAACUUAUCAUUUUCCAAGACCUAAUACUAAACAUCAAUUAAUAGGGGUAGUGUGGCAACAUAGUCAUCUCAAUCAUUGUUUUUUUAGUGAGAGUGGCAAGUCCAAAUGUGACAAGUAAAAGUGAAUGGAGGAGUACUUUCUUCAAAAUUUUAUAGGCGGCUAGACUUGGCUACAACCAUAGACUAAGUUUCUGUGCAAUUCAAUUCAGAUUUCCAAGGGAGGAACGGAUCCUACCAGAUUAGUCUCUUGAAAUUAUUUAUUCAGCUUCAGAUUCUUCAAUUAAUUAGUUCUAUUUGUGCAGGUAAAUAAUAUUAGUGGCUAUCUUCCUGGGAGGAUUGUCUUCUUCUUGGUAAGUUACUGCUCAUCCUACUAAGUGGUCUCUUUUCUUUCCAAUAGACUACUGUGUCUUUGAGGCAUCUCCUGAAUUAUAUUGAAUAAUGUAGCUAGAUAUGAAGGAAUUGCUUCUAUUUCUCGUAAUGCCCGACUCCAUGAAAUAGAUACAAAUGAAAAACAGAAGUAGCAAAGACUGGAAUAAACUCACAUCCACAGAUGGUUACUAUUAAGCAGUGUUAUCAAAAGCAAAAAAUGCAAAAAAACUUACGGUUUGUUAGGGCUUUAAGUGCAAAGAUGAAAGAAAGCGUGACCGUUAAUGAAUGAAGACGCAAAGGGAGAAAAAAGUACAAAUAUAUAAUUCUCAAAAAAAAAAGUACAAAUAUAUUUGUUUAGUCCAAGACUAAUAAUUAUAAGCAUUAAUGCCAAAUAUAUGAAUAAAGAAAUUGAAUUUUUUUUUAACAAUAAAAUGAAAUAUCAAUUAUUUAGUGUUGCCUCUUCAGAAGAGGCUCAUUGUCAAGGGAAAGCAUGCCUUAGAACCUUGAUGACGAUAUUGAAGCACACAUUAAGCAAGGCAAAGCGCUCAAUACGUUUUGAGCCUCGCUUCAGGGCUUAAGCGCGCCUUUGAUGACACUGCUAUUAAGAAAAUGAACUUUGGGCCUAAAAGUUAUCUCAUGAGGUGAAAAUUUCUCAAGACCAUAUAAGGAGACAACAAUCCGUUCUCUCAACCAAUGUGUAAGUUUUAACAGUUACCACCUUAGUGUAGUCUUGUCUGUUCUUAGGGUUUCAAGGAAAAGAGAGAUUGAAAAUCAGAGUUUGGGAGCAGAGUUAGUAUUCUUGCUACUGGAUGAUAUGACUACUGGUACACACUGGUAAAUGGAAGAAUUCCAUGCUGUACAGAACAGGUCCUCUUACUGGUGUUCCCUUUAUCAUUUGAAUGUAUAACAAAGACCUGGCACAUUCUUGUGAUGGUGCUUCUCAUUUUGCAGAAGAGUGAUUUUCACAUUUGUCAUGGCCCUCCACUUAUCCCAGAAAAGUAAGGAAAGAAAGAGAACUGGUCAAACACACUAGCAUUCAUUGCAAGAUGGCAAUUUGCCUGAUCUAGACAUUUUAUUGUUUAUUUUGCUCCUCUCAUUUGCUCUUAAAUUUUGUUGGAAGUGCCCAUCAGAUUGAUAUGGUAUGCAGGUCAAUACACAUCUCACACCCCGUCCAAUUUUGCUAACAAGGCAUGGAGAGAGUUUGUACAAUGUUAGAGGCAGAAUUGGUGGUGACACUGCGAUAAGGUUUGUAUCCUCUAAACACCUUGAAGAUGAUAUAUAUAUGUGAACAUUUUAUAAUCCAUCUAAUACUGUCCAAGACAACAUUUUUUUGAACAUCGAUGGAGCUUCAAAUUUUUGACUGACAAAUUUCUUUAACAGUGAAACUGGGGAGCUCUAUGCAAAGAAGCUUGCCAAUUUUGUUGAAAAACGACUGAAAAAUGAAAAGGCCGCUUCUGUAAGUUCUACCUACUGAUGCUUCAAUUGUAUAAUUUUUUUUUUUCCCUUUUCUUUUCCAACUUCCACUAGUGCUUUUAUUGAAAUAGAUACGAAUGGGAACUGACCUACAGCAUCUGAUUGAGCUAUCACUGGGUGAGUUGGGGAGGGCUGGGAGAAAGAUUGGGCUUAAAGCAAUAGUGGAAAAACAUUCUUUUAUUAUGUUACUGUCAACAUAUCAAGAAAAUCUAGUUCUUCAAUUUUAAUGACUAAUCUAGUUCAUCAUUUUGAAACCUGUUCUGAAUCACUUUGUGUUCUCUGGCUUAAGAAGAAAGCUUCCUUAAUCGUUGAUGAAAGCACUUCCUUUUUCCUGAUAACUACAUCUCAAUAAAUAAAUAAGUUAAUAAAAGAAAAAGAACUGAAGUUCCCUGCUUUGGAUAGUAAUCUGUGCCAGGAGCAGGGACCUUUGAUCUUUCCCCCAAGGCGAGCAAGCAUUUUCUAUUUUCUUUUUUCUUUUUUGGCCUGAUAUUUUCAACUGGAAAAUUAGCUCUCUAGAAGAAGCAUGAUCACAGCUUUCUCUGAUAUUCGUAACUUCCUAUGUCAGAUGUAAUUUUGAAGUAAAAGGAUCUAAAUGCAGUACUUAUACUUACUAUCAUUUCUUACACAAACUCGAAGUAGGAUUAAUGGUUGCUAAAAAUCACAAAGCAAAAGUGCAUGAACCAUUAGCAGCCAACUUUUUCAGCUUAUACGGGAUGCACCACUUCCAGAAUUUAAAAAAUUAGUAUCAGCCCGUAACUAAGCUACUCCUAUUUAGUAGGACAGAUGUCAAACUUUUAUACUGAUCUUAAGAUUUAAGGAAUCCCUAUAUGGAAAAUGUGGUUCCCUAGCAGCUUAAUACACCUGUUUGCACAAAAAGAUCCACGUUCUCCUCAAAAAGGAAAUCAAGAAAUAAUAAAUAAAUUCAGGUACUGUUCACUUUUUGUGGGGGUUGAGAGGAGGUGAUUUAAAAGAAUUGGAUUUGUGGUCUUGCAGCUGAUCUUUGGGAAUGUGCGAUGUGAUAAUAUCUCAAAUUUCUUGCUUUUGAAGAAUUAAAAGCUUACUUUUUUUCAAGAACAUAAUGCACAUGAAGAAAAAAAUCAGCAUAAUCAUGCAUAUAAAGAGUACUUCUUAAAAAAAGUAUGAGCAUAUAAAGAGUGUCUCUAGGAGUUAUUAAGCUCAAAAGUUUCUAUUUUUCUUAUAUUUCUCCUUGAAAAGGGCCCUGUUUAAGUACCUUGAUGGUUUGUUAGGCUUUCAGUACGUAUUGCUGACUCUGCACAGAUCAUUAACAGUUGAAGAUAGCUGGUAGUGCUUACUCUGCACAACUUAUUCUAUAUAUGCUAGAAAAAAGUUGUAUAAAAUGCUCUAUUAUAUGAUAUGCUCUGAUGAGAUUGUAAGUGACCUAUGCUCAUCAUUUAUUUGAUGAUGAGCCUUUUGUGAAUACACAGUUACCUUUAUCUCAAAAAAAAUAAAAUGCUCUAUUAUAUAUUCUGUGACUUAGAUAUGGACCAGCACAUUGCAAAGAACAAUUUUGACAGCUAGUCCAAUUGCUGGGUUUCCCAAGGUUAGCUUGUUGAACCAUCGUGUGUUUGUUUGUUUUAAAUCAUGUCUUUAACUCUCCUGAAGUAAGGUUCUUCCUUUUCCCUCACUCCCUCUUCAGAUACAAUGGCGAGCCCUUGAUGAAAUAAAUGCUGGUGUAUGUGAUGGGAUGACUUAUGAAGAAAUAAAGAAAAAUAUGCCCGAAGAAUAUGAGUAUGCUAUAACUCUUCUUUACCUUUCGCAAUGCAAGCUUAUCCAUUUGUUUGUGACCUAGUAGGAUUUUAUCCAAGUAGAAUUUCUGUGGUGUUUAUAGGAACAGUCAGCAAACUAUGAACACAUACUGAAGGGAAGAUAUGCCUCAUCAGCUACAGAAAAGUGAUUACUAAGACAGAGAAUUGACCACAGAGUCUGUUUGGUGUCUAAUUAACGAGCUUAAUUUGAUUAGUUGCCCCAGUGGCAUAGUUCUUUCUUUUUUCAGUAUCUAUCUGUAAGUCAGUUACCAGAUAAAAAAUCUGAGAAGAUCUAUAGGCAUUUAUUCUAGCUGAUAAGGAUCUGAAUCAACGGGUGUUGAAAAUCAACUGGAUUGAACUGCUUUGAAAUGUAGUUAGAGUUGGAAAAGGUCUUCCGUGAUGGCAAGACCAUCACCUUUCCUAGUUUGGGAAUUCGUUGAACAACUGAUGAAAGACUCAUAUAUGGAGUAAAGACAUCUCCUUGGAAAUCAUAGGGUUUUUCUGCUUCAUUAUGUUCUAACUGGCUGUGUGAUUUACUCUUUCUCUUCGCAUGUUUUCAUAGUAGUGUGUUGCUUCCUUGUGAGAAGAAAUGAAUCCACCAUUCUCCUGUAGUGAAUACACUAUUGAACAACACUGUAUUCUUUUAAAAAAAAUAUUAAUUGGUAUGUCAAAUUGCUUGUUACUUAUUUAUACAUACAGGUCACGCAAAAAGGACAAGCUGAGGUAUAGAUACCCUAGAGGCGAAUCUUAUCUUGAUGUCAUACAAAGGUUUGUUAUUUAACCCUUUAAAUUGAAAGGUUUGGUACUUUCAAUACAUUAAAUUUAGAAUCCUUCAUUUUUCUCAUUUUGUUCUAAUUAACAUUCAACAUGUUGCAGGUUGGAGCCGGUGAUUAUCGAGCUUGAAAGACAAAGAGCACCAGUGGUGGUGGUAUCUCACCAGGUUGGUAAAUGUUGCUGAAGCAUUAAAAUAUCUCGCUUUUCCAUGCCAAUAAAGCACGUGCAUGACUUCAAAUUGUCUCUUUCUAAAAUUUUUUGUAGGCCGUAUUGAGGGCUUUGUAUGCUUAUUUUGCUGAUAGGCCUUUGAGUGAAAUUCCACACAUAGAGGUAAUUACUUGAUCUUGCGUGUGAAGACUUUGAAGAGGAUCAUUAUAUUAUAUUCCACAAUGAAUGGGGAUACAUAUCUAUUUGUGCUAAUUUGGUAGUUAAAGCAUAGUGAACAUAUCUUCUAGACAUGAAAAUGAUAUUUAUCUUCUUUGGGCAAGCUGCGGAGUUACUUUUCCUUUCUUUCAUUCCAUCUGUCUUGCUUGAAUUAGUUAAUUAAGUUGCUGAAAGAAACGAAGUUCAUUAAGGCUCCUCUAUGACACCCUGGUUUAAAUAAGGGUAGAUAAGGCACUGACAUGAUUCUAAAAAAAGAGGUUGAGCAUACAACUUUCAUUAUUGGUGUUAUCUUUUGGGUUGUUUGGUAUGAAGAAAAAUAUUUCUAGGAAAAUGUUUUCUAAAAAAUAAAUCAUUUCCUGGCAACAGAAUACCAAUGAAAAAUGUAUUUCAUUAAAGAGGGAGAAAACAAACUUUCCUCGCUUAUGUAUAACUCUGAUGGUUCAUUUGGAAUAGUUUUAAAAUUUUAGAGAGUGUUGGAUAGUGAGACAGUUUCUUCUGGAAAAUGAUUUCCGGAAAAUACAUUUUCUGGGAAAUAUUUCCGUUCAUACCAAAAACAUCCAUUACUCAUCAUUUAAUCAGGAAAAUGGCCUUGAAGUUGGAAGUGUCUGCUGAUCAUUUAUAGGCUUAAUGCAUAACAGUCCCUUAAACUUGUGAGUAAAUUUCAUUUAAACACUGGAACUACAGCUUGUUCAAUGAAAUUUACAAAAGUUCAAGACUAUUGAUAUAUUAAAGCCAUACAUAUGCAUUCUAAUGGCUGGAAGACGAGGCAAAGUUUUGUAGUGGCUAUAGCCGUAUAGGUGAUGGUUUCUGCAUUUAUGCUUUGUGCAAUUUUAUGUGGUGAACUUUGAACAAGUCGAAAGAUCCAUUUAUUGUACCCUUGUCCUUGUUAAACUUGCAGAUGCCACUUCACACAAUCAUAGAGAUACAAAUGGGGGUUACAGGAGUACAGGAGAAGAGAUACAAACUGAUGUAGGUCAUUGCAACUUGACUUUCUAAUACGUAUAUGCAGCAAUUCUCUCAUUCAAAUUGUAGCAACUGAUACCCAAAAAAUUGUAUAUCGACGAGUGUUUGACAUCAAAGUGUAUCAAUUUGAAGGCUUCAUCUUCUUCUUAUUCUGCAUUCUCCGAUCCCUUCUUCUCUCUUUUUUUAAGUCUCUUAAUUUCUUUGUGAUUUCGCGAAGGAUUCAUACUAUUGUCGUUUUGAAGAUGAUAAAUUUAAGGGAAAAGGAUUGAAAAUACACCUCAACUUUGGUUUAUUGUUUGACUUUACCCUCGCCAUUAAAAUGAAGUUAAUUUUACCCCUCCCGUUAUUAAUUUCACCAAAUUUACCCCUCAUUAAACGGAAUCCCCCAAAUUGAUCCAAAUUACCCGAAUUUAAAAAAAAAAACCCUAUUUCCUAUUUUUAACCCAAUGCCGUGCCCCAUUUAGAAUAACCCGGUUAACCCUAUUUUACCCAUUUACCCAUUCUCUCUUUGAAUAGAUAAUCUCCUUUUUCUCCCAAAUUUUCCAUAUAACCCAAAUAGAGAAUGGGUAAAUGGGUAAAGGAAAUUUGGGAGAAUGGGUAAAAUAGGGUUAAUCGGGUUAUUCUAAAUGGGGUGGGGCAUUGGGUUAAAAAUAGGAAAUAGGGUUUUUUUUUUAAAUCGGGUAAUUUUGGUUAAUUUGGGUCAAUUUUGGGGAUUUCGUUUAAUGAGGGGUAAAUUUGGUGAAAUUAAUAACGGAAGGGGUAAAAUUAACUUCAUUUUAACGGCGAGGGUAAAGUCAAACAAUAAACCAAAGUUGAGGGAUAUUUUUAAUCCUUUUCCCUAAAUUUAAAUAUCUACUUCGCCCUUCUCCAAAUUCACAUAGACAUUUAAAGUGUCAUAAGUAGCAAGAUUAAAUUUAUUUUCAACUUUGCCUAUAAUCCUACUAUUGAAUCUUGAAGUUAUCUAUGUUUCUUACUUCUUAAUUAGCCAAAAGAAAAAAACUGAUUUAUGUUUUAUGUUCAAUGCAUUGACAGUUUGACACUAUAAAGAAUUUGUUAACUAUCAGGUUAAGUUGACCUAUAAUAACGCGCAACUCUAUAUAUCAAUCAUAAUAUAAUAAUCUAGAGAUCUAAUAUAGUGACAACUUGCUAUACUCAGUUAACUAGCACUAAUAUCAAAUCAAUAAGAGGAUUCUACAAGUUGGGAUAGUACAACUCGUAAAAUUACAAAAGAAAUAAAAUACACUCCAUUUGAUGGUCAAUACUUUUUCAUUCUUGAUGGAAGCAAUCAUGCAACGACUUCUGAACUUGUAAUAGAUGAGUUGAGAUGAAGAGAAGCUCGGCAUAAAGGACAAUUUGAGUGACCAAUUAGCCAUUUAUCAAUACAUUGAGCAUGAUAUACAUGUUCACAGUAAGGCAAUAACUUAACCAUUUCAUCAGCUCCAAAUAAUCCCAAACAAAUUGGGCACUCAUCACUUCUUUGAACACUAUCUAACUUACAUAUUGUCUCACCAAAUAAGAAAACAGGCAGCUUUUGAAUAGUUUCUUCAUCAAGUCCCUUGUUGAUUUGUACCAAAACUGCAUUUGCAUCUGGUGGUGAGCUCAAUAUUUCACUAGAAAAGAGGUUAAAUUUACAAUCAAAAUAGAAGAAAAAGAAGGCAACAAGUAAUACUAAGAUGAAGAAAAAAAUAAUUGAAAGGCCAUGGUUUUGGAAAUGUGAGGUUAUUAAUUUGAGGUCACUGAAGUACCAGUUUGAAGUUUGAGUAUCUUGUAAAGACAUGACCAGUUGAUCAAUAACGAGCAACUCAAAUAAUGGAAGUGGGAAAAAAGUAGAGACAAUUCUGCUGCCUAGCUACUUAUUAAUACUCUCUUCCUCUGUCUCAAUUUAUGUGUCUUAGUUUGACUGAGCACAAAGUUUUAGAAAUAAAUGAAGAUUUUUUUAAUCUCGUGAUCUUAAAUUAAAGAUGUGUGUAGUCUUUUAAAUCUUGUUGUAGUACUAUUAAACUUGUCACGUAGAAUGUUAGAAUUGAAAAACUUACUAAAUAUAAAAAUGACAUAUUUGUAGGCAAAUCAAAAAGAAAAGUAAGACAUUUAGAUUGAGACGGAAGGAAUACUGUUGACAGAUGGAGAAAAAAUAUAACUACAAACGCGAAUUUCAAAUGGACAGCUCCAUCAGAAUGUCAUUAGAAAUAUGGCAUAUCCGAGGAGAAAUCCGUUCUAUGUUAAAUUCAUUAAAAUUUAGAUGAAUUUGAGAUUCUAAAUUCAUAAUGGUUAGAAGCUAAAGUUUAAACCAAGUAAAUUUAACUCCUAAAUUUGUCUAUAUUAUGCCAUUAUAUUACUAUUAUAUAUGGAUCAAACCGUUUGUAGUCUUUUUAACUUCUAUAUUGUAACAAUAAAAACGAAUAUUAUCAAAUUGCUUACUAAAAGAAAUGUAUAAGUAAUUCUCAGCAGACAGCAGUAGGUGAAAUUAAUAAUCUGAAAAUUAAGACAGAUAAUCUUUUAUAUUUAAAUUAUUUUAAAUCACAUAGUAGCAAUAAAUCCAACAGCCAACUCCCUCUCUUUGUUUAGGAAAAAAAAAGAAGAAGAGUAAUUAAACUCACUCUCUUUGAGUUGGUUUACUGCAUUGUCAACUGUUUCAUUUAUUUUCAGUAGCAGCAAUAAGGCCCAUUGCCCAUACACCAUGGAUUCAAAUAAUAAAAAAUAAAUAAGUAUCACAAUUUUUUAUUUUUUUAAAAAGUGGUCAGGAUUGAAAAUUGAGGAAGUAAAUGCUAAAAUCAUUAUUAAUAUGGAUAAAUAGAACCUCAUAAAAUGGACAAUGGAACAGAUUUCUUAGUUUUCUUACCCAACUUAAAGAUAUAGAAUAAUUAUAAGUAAAUUUUGUAAAAAAUGAAAUUUCAUUGUAAAACAUGUUUGAAGGUCUCCCAAACAAAGAAAUAGUGAAAAUUGGAAUCAUUGUAAUUUUUAAUUUGCACAAAAUGAAUCUUUACAUGGCGAUCUAAAAAGUUCAUAAAUAAUAUGACAAGUAUGGGCCAAACCUUAUGGUCCUCUAUUUUAAAAGGGAAACUUAUAUAAAUAUACACAUUCAAAAAAUAUUUACCAUUUAUAGCAAUAACAUUUUUUUCUCAUUUGAUCAGUUUUAAUACAUUUAUAAUACAAUUUUAAUACAUAUUACAAAGAACAAUUUAUUAUUCACAUAUAAUACAAGUUUUAUUGAUGGAUCACAUAUUUUAUACACUUAUAAUACACUGUGUCAAUUUUUUACCAAUCAAGCAUAAUAUAUUUUAAAAAAACAAUUAUAAUACAUAUAUAUUGCAUACCUAAUUCACUUUUGUUACAUAGCAAUUUUAACAUAGUAUUGCUAAAAAUGGUACUAAUAAAUAAAAAGUAUUGUUAAAAUCAGUAAUUAUUUAUUAAAAAAAUACCCUUCCAAGUAAUUUUUCCUCAAAAUAUGGGUCGUUCAAAGUCUUGGACUCGGCCCAAUAGAUAACAGAGCCCAUUAGUGGUACUUAAUAAUGAAACCUGGUAAGUAGAAAGUCCCACAUCGAAGCGCAUACGAAGAACAGAGAGGCUAGAAGGAAUAUAUAAAGCGCUCCUUCAUUUCUGUUAUACUCACGCAGCCACGCAAUGAACACAUAGCGAACUAUUCUUUCGCCUUUUACUAAAGAAUACCGUGUGUGCGUUGCAAAUAGUGGCAUACGCCAAUUUUUGGAGGGAUUCUCUCUACUGAGGAUCCCAACAAUUCUAGUUAUAAUCUUUUUUCAGUGAAUUUGGGUAAUUUCCUGCACAUAAUAUAACCCUAACCCUAAGAAGUUUAAAAAAUUAAAUAUCUAGUCUGGUUGAGCCAUUUUUGUGUCAGUUUAGUGUUGGAUGGGGAGGGGGUGGGUAGGCAGAGUUUGGGAGACAUUUUGAGGCCAUGUGUAUCUAGCGGACAUUGGUUCAUGUUAUUAUCAAGUCAUAGGCUCAUCAAAGCAUGUAGUAUUUUACUUCGUUACAUGGGUCAUGUUAUUAUCAGUUCAAUUGUACUAAGAAUGGAACCCCAAACUUGCUAAAGAAGGCAUUAGCUUUGAACUAGAAUAUUGAGGCAGGCAGUGAGAUCUCCUUUACAAUGCUGUUAAUCUCUACUAAACUAAUGCUAUUCAUCUCUCUUGUGAAAGUCAAUGUGUACUAUAAACCAUUUGUAUGGGAAACCCAUGUUUUCAUACAGUUAUUAUCUAACCAUACUAUGAGCAGCAUCUGCGUUGUAUGACGAACCAGUACAGCUACUUCCACCAGCUCCUCUUAUGGCACGAAAGGAUGCAACAACAGUGGGUUGUCUUCUCAGUUCAAUCCUUCACCUGAAGAUGAAUCAGCCCCCACCACUGCAUCCAUCCAAGGCCAUGUCACAAGUCUUCUAAGGAGCCAUUUGAGUACUCAUGACCUGAAACACCGGAACUUCCAUUUGGUAAUCGACUCGUGCUGGUGGGAGUUGAAUAAGGGGAGUAGGUUGAAGCAGAACUGCCUCGUGUAUAUCGGUUCUGAGCAGUGCUACUUCUUGUUGCCUUAAGACGGGCCUUCCUCCCCUGAGGCCAAGUGCAUACAAGUAUUAAUAGAAAAUAAUUUGGAUCAACUGAUGAGAGGUAAUUUGAGACUGGCUACUGAAAUAGAAAAAUAAUAUACCUUUCCCAUGCAUUUCUCCAAGUGAGGAGCAAAUCGCCCAGCCAUGAUAGAUCUGCCACAAUUCAUACAUUCAAAUAUUUCAGUUGCAACAGGAGGAUGGGUUUGCCCAAAUAUAUCUACGACAUAUUUGCCAUUUGUUUCACUACUGUUGCUAGGAUCAGCUACUGUUGCCCGGGCUUGUGCAGACAACCGAAGUUCUUCCUCCUCUUCUUCUAAAUUACGAUCAAGGCCUAGUUUCGCUACGCGGUGACACUCAGAUGCAACAUCAGUAAUGAUGGAAUCAAGAAGCUCAUCAAAAACAUGAGCGGACAACUGCACAUGGAUCACAAAGCAGACUAAUAGUCAAAUAUCAACAAGAAUCACAAAGCAGACUAAUAGUCAAAUAUCAACAAGAAAAGCCUGAAGUAGAAUACAGUAAAUUGACCCAUAUACAAGAUAUUCUAACUGUAAACAACAUAGGGGAACUGAGCUUAAAUAAGGAGUGCCACACCCCUGCCUCCAAACCCCGAGGCCCACCUUUGAUCAUCAAUGGGAAUAAGGGCAGGAACAGUCUAUAUCCAGAAAUUUAAGAGUAAAGUAAACAUAAAAACAAAAACCAUAUGCAAUCAAUAGAAAAGCUGGGAAAGACGAGAACAAGCAUGCUUGCCCACACGAAGAAGAAACAAUGGAGUCAAAUAAUAGCAAGAUUCUACUAAUUGCCUUCAGAAACAACUGAUGCAUACAAUUCACUAUAGCAAUUAAGCAAGAUAACCAGCAAAUAUAAGUUUCUGGUUUCAUUUAAGAUGUGGGUUACUUGUGGUUGAGAGAUGUUAUCCUCAUUUGAUGCCGACAUGAAUCUCUCCUCAGAAAUCAAUGAACAAUAAAAUCCACACCACAAGGUUCGGCACAAGAAAAAAACCUGCAACCUAGAUAGACAACAACAGAACAUGAUCAAGAAGAGAAUAGGAGAAAAAUAUAAAAUAAAAUACAAACAACAACUAUGUCACAUGCCCAAACAAGUUGGAUUCAUGAUUUUUCUCUAGUUAAUGUGUAAAGGAAAAAUAAGUUUACAAAUUUAGCUGGCUAUAUCAUCUUCUUGAUUUUAUAGAUACAUUACUACACUACAACAACAACAACAUAUCCGGUGUAAUCCCACAAGUGAGAUUUAGGAGGGUAGAGUGUACGCUGACCUUACCCCUACCUUGGGAGUGGGAGAGGUUGUUUCUGAUAGACUCUCCGCUUAAGGAAACACAUAACGGAAAUAAAGAGAAGAUCAUGGCAAAAUACUAUAGAAAACAUGACAAAGUAAUGCGAUAACCAAAGUACAAGAGAUAGGAACAAAAUUUGAAGGACAAGAAACUACCAGAGAAACAGUACGAGUUUACGACUACCGGAAUGAAAGGAUAAGCAUGACAAUGCUUUAUCACCUAACCUCCUAACCUAAGUCAUGUCCUCCAUAACCUCCAAUCUAACAUCAUAUCUUCAGAUUGUGUCAUAUACAUACUAUAUGAGAAAUGAAAAUACAAUCUUAACAAACAAAUGGAUUCGUGAUUUUCUCGAGUUACAUGCUCUCAUCAUUAUGAUAAAGUCUGACUAGUGAACAGCAGCACUAGCACAUUACCAACAACUAAAUUUGCAACAGAUUUGAAGAUUCCAAACCAAGUAUCAAUGAAAAAAACAUAGACAUCCUUUUUAUUCCCAGCUCAAUGAAGCUACUUCAGUUCAUACAAACUUAAUCCAUCGGCUGGAUUUCAUUUCGAUUAAUUUAGAAGUUUAAAGUCGAUCUCAACCAUGAUCAAGCAUCAAUCAAUAAAAUCUUAAUUCCAAACUAAUUUAAUCAAACUGUUCCACAUCCGAUCUGCAAUUUUCCGAUUAAAAUCCCUGCCAAAUCUAGUAAACGUAUGCAAUAAACUUACACCAAAACGUAAAGAAAAAACUUACAGAUCGAGAAAGAAGAUUGUUCCUUCAACAGAGAGGAGUUGGGAAUUUCGUACCUGAAUUUGGGAACAGGGGCAGAAGGGACGAUGGGCUUCAGUGUUCGGGUCGGGUCGGGAAUUUGGAGCUCUACGGUCAGCUACUUUGUAAACUGCCUCGUGUAGUAUUUUGAUAGGCGCAUUCGGGUAGAGGCAUUAAAUGGGUUACAAUAGAAAUCGAUUGAAUCACUUUAUUUUGGGCUCAAAUUAGCUAAAAUUUGGAUUGGGUCAUGACCCACUCAAUUUUACUCGUUUAAUCUUGAUAAUUUUAACAUAUUAUUAUUACUUAACACUUUUAUAACUACAAUUUUGAAUUUUAACUCUAAAAAAUAAAAAAAGUUACAAAUGGACAAAAAAUCCUAGAAGAUAUAAAAUACUUUCUUUGUUCCAUCUUAUGUGACACUAUUUUCUUUUUAGUCCGUCCCAAAAAUAAUGUCGUUUUACUAUAAUCGUAAAUAAUUUAACUUUAAAAUUCUCAUUUACCUUAAUGAAAUGGUUUACAUGCACACAAAUAUUAAACUAUUUUAGAUCUUAAGUUUUAAAAGUCUUCCUUUUUUUCCUUAAUUAUCGUAUCAAGUCAAAAGAUACCACAUAAAAUGACGAAGGGAGUAGACCGUAAAUAGUAAUUUAUACCUUCACUGGUUCUAUAGCUUGCCAACAUCUUCGAUUGAUUAGAGAAGAUGAAGAUGGAAUUUGUUGAAGUUUGGUGGACAGAGAAGAGUGACUGUUUACUUUCCUCUUUUUACUGUUUUUAGAUUUUUUGCCCCUUUUUUUUGUUGUUGUUUUAUCUUGGGUUUGGAUCAAUCUGAUUUGGGCCUUCUGUACUCUUUUUGUUUAAUAAUAAAGAGCAACUUUUAUAUAUAACAAAUAUAAAAAUUAUAUUUGUAUGUUAUAACUAUAGUUUGUAUAAUUAGCAAAUUUUAUGUUUGUUAUGGAGCUUUUGAUUUGACUAAUUCGCUACGAACAUCCAAUUUUAUACAAAUUGUUCAGUUUUGUAUAAAUUCAUUUAUACAUUGUAAUUUGUAUAAUAAGAUCUGUAUUUAUAUAAUUAUAAGUGUAUAUAACGAAAAUAUAUGUAUUUGUAUUUGUAUAUAUAUUUUUCUCUCACUUUACACAAACACAAAUGCAUUUUAUACAUUUAAAUGUAUAAAAUGGUUAAUUGUAUACCAAAAAUGGCUAAUUGUAUACCGAAUCAAAUGACAAAAAAAUGGGAUGUUUGUUGUGAAUUACAAUUAAAAUAAACUAUGGCUAUAGCAUUUAAUUUGAAUUAAUAGUUUGUUAUUUCAUACAAUUUUCCCAAUAAUAAAUGGCUCAUGAUCCUUUGGUUAAAAAAAUAAUAAUUCUUUCCUUUAGUAUAGGAUAAUACAUUACAUUAAUGCAAAUAAUUUUUUUAAAAAAAUGGGUUAGAAAUUGCAGAUUAUAUUGGCUCGAUUGAAGAUUCUUUAAUAAUGGGUUAAGUCUUGAAUGAAUUGAGACUGAACUCUCAAAUUAUUUUGAGCUCAUUUUGACACCUCUAAUUUGGGGUAAUCUUUUUAUUUUUUUAAUUAUCUUUCUAGGUAGAAACUACAUAAUUAGACAUACUCCACUAUUACUACCAUAUAUUUGUUAUUAUCUAUACUUUUAAAAUAUUACAUAUUUUAACACUAAUUAAGAGUUUCUUAUAAUAUAUUAAGGAAGAUAUACAUAUACAUAUGGGUGGACAUGGUGUGGAAUAUACCGAAUUAUCAUAUCAUAUCGAAAUUUUUAAUACCAUGAUUUUGAUAUUAUGGUAUACAUUUUGAUUUUUUAAAUAUUCGGUAUGGUAUUUGGUUUUUAGUAUUUAAAAAUAACAUACCGAAGUAUAUAUAUAUAUAUAUAUUAGUGGUAUUGAAAUACUAACAAAUAUGCACCUAAUAUUAGUGAAAACUAAAUGUUUAGAAGUUGAAACUUUGAUUAUUCUAUUUUGAUUGAAAUGUAAUUGAUUAACAAAAGGAGUUGUUUGUACUUUCUUUUGAAUAUAUACUUUUACAUUUGUAAUGUGUUAGUAUGAUACAAUUGAGACCUUUUUUUAAUUGUCGAAUCAUAAUACUAUAUUAUAAGAGUAUAUAUUAGUCGAAGUUGAACAAACUAUGGUUAUCGAUUUACCAUACCAUAGAAUAUUGAAAUCGAACCAUUCCAAAUUAAAUUGGUAUGGCAAUGGUAUAAUGUUUUAUAAACUGAAAACCGAAAUUACGAUAUCGAACGAACCUUUCAAAUACCGUACCGCACCAUACCAUGCUCACCCUUGCCUAUAUGCGUAUUUUUGUUAACUUAUGCACUAAAAUAGAGAGAGAGACGAGCGAGAUGGCGAGAGAGGCGAACGAGAUUUGUUAUGUAUCCCAGAUACAUGCGAAUCCACACUUGGAUACAGUGUAUCUAGAAAAACUUACACCUAACUUUGACCCAAUGUAUCCCGAAAUAUAUGUAUCUGGACAUAUCUUAAUGUAUUUGGACACACCAAAAUCUGAUAAGAUUUGUAAUAUUACAAAUUAAAAUAUAUCUAAUUCAUUAGCUCUUAAACUGGUGAAAUUUAAAUAAUUUUUUCUUUUUUUAUUCGGUCGACGAACCGAACUCCAAAUUUUAGCUGAACCUUAUUAAAUCA
rnacentral:lncRNA from 1 species